UCAGACGCGCUUCCGGACUCGCUAUCAUCAUCAUCAUCGCAAGCGCACACCGCAGAGAAUGAGGAAAUCAGGAUUCCGCUGGAGCAAGUACAAGCAGAGUGUACUGCCAAAAGUGUGGGAAGAAAGCAUGCAGUAAAAGUAGGAGCUUGCUGGGUAAAAAUUAGAGUUUGCCCAGGAGGGAGGAGGGGAGAGAGAGAGAGAGAGAGAGAGAGAGAGGGGGGGGUUGCCAGGCUCAUCUUUGUCCUGUCAAGAGAAGAAGGCGGCACCCACCUGAUGUUCCCGACCUUUGAGCGACCAGAAAAACAAGGGAAGGAAGCCACUUUGCGCUACAAAAGGAGGAGGUGGAUCUGAAGCUAUCUUUCCGUGGAUGUCGAACGGACGUGCAAUGGUCUACUGUACUGCAUUCAGUGUUUGAGGAUCUUAAUUAGUGGACAGGAACAAGGAACCAGAAGCUGGUUAGGUGGAUACUUAGCUAGGUAGGUGUCGGAGUCGAGUUAAGGGGCUGGACGUGUUUAAGGUGCCAACACCUUCACGAGAUCUACUGAAGACACCACAGGAGAAGACUCCAAAAGAACCCGAGAAAAAGAGCGAGUGUUCUACGGAAGAAGGGAGAGAGAGAAGAGAGAGAGAGAGAGAGAGUUUGGGUGGAGGAAAUGGAACGUAGAAGGCAAUAGGGGAAGUACCGCUCGUUAAGGAAUCCUUUCGAUUGUCUCCGCCUUGGCUCUCCUCGCAAGGAGUUGUUAGCUUAGGGAGGAAAGCUGGCGAACCGGUGGUGGGCGGGGAGCGUGGCGAUGGGCGGAAUAGACCCCGUCGUCGCCACCACUCCCUCGACCCCUUCCCUCCAUGUCCGCAACCCCAACGCCCAACUCAGCCCCCACCGCCGAGACCUAGCGGACAACCCCGCUACCCCGAACAGCAGCAGCAGCAAGAACAACAACAACAACAACAACCAUGUCAAGGACGACGACGCCGGCACCGGAGACGACCACUCCGGCGGUGGCGGUGGUGGCCUUGACAUGGUCGAAGCCGGAUCAGGCGGGAGCGGAGGCGGUAGCGGCAACUCCGGACGCCGCCCUCGGGGCCGGCCGCCCGGGUCGAAGAACAAGCCGAAGCCGCCCGUCAUCAUCACGAGGGAGAGCCCCAACGCGCUCCGCUCUCACGUCCUCGAGAUCGUCAGCGGCACCGACAUCAUGGACGCCAUCGCCGUCUUCGCCCGCCGCCGUCAGCGCGGCGUCUCGAUUUUGAGCGGCAGCGGCGUCGUCACCAACGUCACGCUCCGGCAGCCCGCCGCGCCGCCAGGCUCCGUCAUCACUCUCCAUGGACGGUUCGAGAUCCUCUCUGUGUCAGGCGCAUUCCUUCCGGCGCCGUCGCCCCCAGGCGCCACGGGGCUGACCGUGUACCUCGCCGGUGGGCAAGGGCAGGUGGUGGGUGGGGUCGUGGCCGGGGAAUUGGUGGCCUCGGGGCCGGUUUUGAUCAUAGCAGCCACCUUCGCUAACGCCACCUACGAACGGUUGCCGCUCGGCGACGACGAGCCCGAGGCGGCUGCAGCACCACCGGGAUCGGAGGAAAUGCAGUUGCUACAGAGCCCAGGAGGAGAUGGAGCAGGUGGUGGUUCGUCGUCACACCAGCUGCAUGCCGGAUUGGCGACCGACCCCCCUCUCUUCAAUCCACCGCCGAGCCUGCUUCCCAAUGGGCAGAUGCCGCACGAGGUGUUCGGUGCGUGGACCUCAACGAGUUCGCGUCAUCCGCCAUCCUACUGAGUACCAAAACCUCUCUCUCUUUCACAUACAACAUACAUUUCUGUAGAAGGAGAACCAAUAGUCAUGCUGCUAGUUCCAUCUACAUCAUGCCUUCCAUCUUAAUACUCUUGCAUCAUUUUGUGAACUUUUAGACGUGUACUAUUGCUAGUUGCAGUUUCUGAUGGUUAUUUUGGUUUGUUUCUUCUUUCUUUCUCACCAUUUCUCUUCAAUCUAUAUAUUUUGCCCGAGAGAGAGAGAGAGAGAGGAGGAUUUCUGAUUAAUGUCCACUGCUCCACUGCAUCUUUCCUGAGUCGGCUGUUUCCAUUUCAAGUUUGGAUGAGGAUGUUGGGGGGUUGGAGUGCAUGCUUCAAUGCCAAGAAAGGGAGAUGUGCACCCAUGCUCUAUUAGGUUUGGUCUUUUCUAGGUAAGAAAAAGAACCCAUUAGAGACAAUGGUGGUAAAACGUUAGGUUGCAAGUUGCAGGAAUGGCAUAGUGAUCCUCUUGUUCUCUUUUCCCUUUCUGCCAUCUGCGUGGCGUAUGAAACUAUAAGACUAUCAGUUGACUUAUUACAUUUAGUUUUCUGUUUUCGCUGGGAAUCAAACUUUGAGUUUGUAUUUAUCAGAAUUAGAGCUUCAUGUUCUGAGAGGUUGAUCUGAGAUCAACUAUUGUUAUCUCAUGCAGCCAUCUCGCUUGCUACUGAAGUCUAUCCUUCUGAAUUGCACAAGCAGAUAAUCGUAUUUAGUUUUCAGGGUCGAAGGCUUCAGUGAGGCUACCAUUAGAUAUGAAUUCGCUUAUUUGAAACUAGAUUGAUAUAUUUUUCAAAUGACAUCGAAAAAUGAUUGCUUAUGUUUUUAGACAAACAGAAUUAUCUAACUCAUAAUCUAAAAUUAGUAACAAUUAUUUUUACCCUAAGGAUUUGGAGACAUUAUUUAUAUAGGCAAAACCAAAUUCAUCCGAAACACAGAAUUGUUUCAUGAUUUAACCUGCAAUUUACACGUUAUUAAGUUUUUUUUAUGAUUUAACCUACACUUUACACAUGAUUGAGUUUUUUCAUGAUUUAACCUGUACUUUACACAUGAUUGAGUUUUUUCAUGAUUUAACCUGUACUUUACACAUGAUUGAGUUUUUUAUGAUUGUCAUUUUAUAGGGAGACUUAGAUAUUAAAGAUUAUCCCAAAGACUAAAUCAAAAGUAAAUUCACUCUUUCGAUUUGGAGAUAAACAAGUCAUCACGCAGGAGCCUUGUGCACCGGUAAUCUUGCCGGUGGGCAAUGGCAGAUUGCAUGCAUCUCCAACCAUUUUACACAUAAUUGCUUUAUAGGUUUUCCUUAUGUUUAUGUGCUAAUAUCGUGUGAAUCUUUUAGCAUCAUAUCUUAUAGUUUACAUGAUCAUAUUGGUCUGCCCAUAUACAGAAAUGUGUAGAUGAUGAUAUGAACAUAUGUAUUUUAACAACUUAAGCCACUUGCCAUUAUUCUUCAACAUCUUUGCUUAUAUUCUCCUCAUUUUUAGCUUUAAUGUAGAAGAAAAUGAUCCAAAUUCAUAAUUGGAUAAACCAUUUCCUAUGACAGUGCCUAGCUUUCCCUAUAUUAUUAUUAGCUCCAUUCUUGAACUAUUCAUAAUUCAAAUAAGUACUUGACCAAAGCUUGUGUUUAUUUAUGCUAUGCAUGUAGGUAGCAGCAGAAAGAUGAAACUCCAAAUCCAUGUUGUUUCUGCUACGGAAACAUGAGUUCAAUUUUAGGCAGCCUUCAUCUGUCUACUAAACCAUUCCUUUCUCAAUAAAAUACUCUACUAAACUCAAGUGCAACCUUCGUGUUUCUGUUUUUAAUGUUUCAUUUAUCAUUUGGUUGCCUAUUUCCAAUUAAGAGUUGUAUACUAUUUGCAGUGAUCUAUAUAUAUCACAAGGUAUCAUUCAUUUCCCUUUGACAACUAUUCAUGGACGAUUAUUCAUGCCAGAGACGACUGACGACAUUCAUGCAGAUUACUGGUCAAGUAGUUGUUUGAUGAACAAGAUCCGAGUAUUACCUGGAAACCAUCUGUGGAGGUGAUGUUAGAUGCAACAUCCAUUCGCAUGAUCCUUCGUGGUUGCAAAUGAAGAAUAUGAAACCUGCUCACAGGCAAUUGACGAACUCUAUUACUAACAAAAAUAUCAACAAAAGGAAAACUGAUGACUCUUCUUAUCGAGGGGCAAGAGUAGUUCUGAGUCACCAGAAACCUGUUGUCUUAGUCGUCUGUGGUCAAAAGGCAAUCUCCUGCGCUGCUGUCUCAGACCUUAUCAAAACAAUGUGAGGACAGUCGGUGGAGCUUCUCAUCUCUCUUCGCUCGGUUCAUUUCAUCACAUGGGCUCACCAAACCUUCUUUUCUGAAACAUAUCCUGAAAAGAAGAAAGAAAGCUAAUUCAUUGCAUUUGUUUUGCGGUGUCAUUAUCAGAAGUUUCCGGGUCAAAGGCCAUUAGUUUAUAAGCUUCUGCGGAAAAUUCAAAGGGUGGGUAAACAAUAAACUUCCAACUACAGCAGUGGAGAGUCAAACCAGAUGCACCCUUAUCUUAUGAGCGCACUUUGUCAACGAAGUUAAAUACGGCACUGGUUUAAGGAAUUCUAAGUGAAUUUGAUGUUCCGAUUUAUGCCACUUUGGUUUUGAUAUUCCACUUUAACCGAGCUGCUCUCAGUAUGGCUAAGGACAAGUUUACUUCUGUAGGAGAUGAUAGGGCUCCCAUCGUCCUUGUUCUAUCGACUAUUUAGCUUCCCACUCUCUCCUGGAGCGUGUGUAGUGUAGAACACAACUGUACUUCUCAUAAUACCAACAACCUCUCUGGGUCCUCUCACCCUGAGUUGUGAAGCAAGUCCCUGGUGGUGCUGGGGAGCGAGAGAACAGGGAGACGUGAUAUCAAGUAAGUACAACAGUGUGUAUAGGGAUAAAAGAAAGGAAGUUGUGGUAGCAAGAGACGGUACCUUUCCACACCACGUGCUUGCAGAAUCUUUCACAUCAUUGAGCACAAUAAAGGGAGGGGUGUCGACAUCCGGCGCUUGCCGCUUUCUUAUCCCAAUGUCCGGUUGCAUGCAUCUUCACGGCACCUGCACGGUAGAGGAGCGUUGGCCCAAUCUGCGCCUCCGACUCGCCAUCAACUCGCGCUUUGUCCUGUCCCUGUGGUGGGCCGCCAUCUCUGCUUCGGCUUUGUUGUGCUGACCUCUCGAACAGUUAUCGAACGUGUGUAGUUUAUCCGGAUCUGCGUUGGACUGAGAGAAAAAUCUUGGCAUGGCAGAUCCGAAGGUCUCGUUUCCUCGUGAAACAGCAGGUACAGCCACGGAUUCCAUUCGUUGCACGAAGGGAACAUAAUUGCAGUGAACCUGAAAGCAUGACGAUAAAUCUUUAAGUACGAUAGCGAAAAUUCAUAGAAUUAUUUGUGAUGUAACUAUGUAUCGGCUUGCAAAGACAGGUUUGAGAUACUUCAGACAAAUAAUUUUGCAUUGUCAGUGUGCACAAGGUUGAAAGGGUAAGACAGACAUCAUAAGUUAGGCCUUUUUGAUGCCAAGGCAACUCAUAUUACUAGUACUAUGUAUAGAAUGUCAACUGCAAAGCAAGUGGAUUACAGGUUAUAUCUGCAGCAGUUAAUUCUGAUUUGAGGUAGUAAAGGAGGUCUUGCGCAUGGGAGGCUCUACCACGUCUUUCUUGACAGUGUUCCUAUCAAUAAGUUAACCACAAAGUCGAAUCAGUCUUCACUUGAAGAAAAAAAGAGCAAUUAAUUUUUUCAAGUACUAACACUCACCAAUGAAGUUACUACCUUUACCCAUUUGGGAUCUCAAUAGUUGCGAUAUGACUAGAGCUUUCGAUUCUCAAUACACCAUAUGCACCACAAGGUCACUUUUUCCUGAGGAUGUUAUCGAAUACCAAAUACUGAAGAAAUAUCAUGCCGAGGCCCUCGCAGCUUAUGAUGGAUGAGACUUUGAACUACAAGGAACUAGCAUAUAGAUCCUAAAGGAAGUAUCAAGUACAAGAUGUGGCUAGUCAAAGCAAAGUUAAAGCCUUAAAGUAAUUCAAGCUCCAACAGAAAAAAAAAAAAAAAAAAAGUCUUUAUAAAGCUAUAUAUAAAUUCCAAGAAGAUAUAGCAGUCAUGUGUGCCAAAGUUGCACCACAAAUUCAACUCAAUGGCAUCCCUAUUUUGCCACUUUAGCUGACAAAGUAAAAUAGAAUGCAUAAAACAGUAUGCUAUACGAAAAGAUGUGCUUAAUCCUUACGAUGAUUGUCUAACACAAAGUGGAGGUGAUGGAGGAAAACUUUAUCUAUGGAGACAAACAUUUAAUGCAUAAUGGCCUUUCUUUAAUAUUUAGGCAUAUCGGUCUCUUCAGAAUCCUAAUGAUACCUAUGAAUUUCACUGCUUGUUUCUGUUUUGCUCUUAGAUAUCUUCACAGAUAAUAUGACAACAUGACUCUCUGUAUACCAUCACUAAACGAUUUAUGGCAUCAAAUACAGAAAGUUCCACAUAAGAGCUUUUAAGGACCAGCUUAUUAGACACUUCUUUGGACACAGAUGCAUCUCAUGUGGUCAUCUUGGACAAAUGUCAUUUAUCAUGAGAAAUACCAUUUUCGAAUGUUCUUUACCCUUCCGUGACCAUAUUCCGUUUUGUUUGAAGAUCCUGCAACUUGUUUUGUACAUGUCUUUUCAGAAGAUCCAAUUGCCUGUCAAAAAUAUGAUUAAUAAACAUCCAUACAGAAACUAGGUAGAAUGCGCUAUCGGCGAUUAAUGAGUAUUUGCACAAAAAAUCACAAAAGCAAAUAAAGAAAAAGGAAGCAUGGCGCUCAACACCAGCAUCUGUACCGAGCACAUCAAACUUAUUUACAGUCACUAACUCAGUGAUAUCAAAAGCAAAGUUGACUGAAAAACAUCAAAGGGCAAAAAGAUUGUCGUUGUAGAACUUAUAAAUAUGUGAUUCAAAACAUGUGUGGUCACAACAAAUAAAUUUAUCCGUAUGCAACUUUAUCCAUGCAGCAGUCUUUUCACCCUAUGCAUUUAUGAAUAUUGGUUGAAAUAAAAAGUGAGACUCAUAUGAAAACAAGAAGUGACUCCCAGCAUAACCGAGUCCAUCCCCAGUCGAUAAACCAUGUGAUGAUUCAAAACAAUAUGUACAGAUAAUUAAUUCCAUGGAACCCACACCAAAAAUAGUGCAGCACAUGAGAUGGGGAUGGGAAACUAACCUAAACAUUUCAUUGGCUAGUCCACGUUCAUAGAAUGAGCUGAUUCCGAUGGAAAUACAAACCUCAACCAAUCGCAGUCAACAAACAGACUCGGAAUCGGCAAGCGAUCGGUUAAGAGAUUCGGAAACAUUUUACAGAGAGCUGCUGCAGCUCCCGUCUUCACAUUUUUCUUUUUGCAGGUCAGAUUUCUAAUUGUUGCACCAAAGACUUAACAGGCUGUCUCUGCUACCUGUUUUAUCUAUUUUAUAAAGGACCCACAUGGUAAUUCUUUAGAGUCAUUCGAGUCACUCUACUACUUUUUUUUUUUCACUUCGCACUCCACCUUCCAUCCUUGCCAUGUUCAGACUUUUCCACAAUAGCCAUCUUAUUUUCUUGCUAUCCCAGAUUUCUGCCAUCAAUUCCUUAGAUCUAGUUUUCUGACUUCCUUCUGUAACCUAAGUCUAGUGAGACCAUCUCCAAUUCCAUUUUUUUUGUAUAAAGAUCACAGUUCACGGAUUCUAGUGAAAUAAUUAAGCCAGAAUGUGUUAGAAUUUUAAUAUACUUGCCCCCUGUUAUAAGUAUCAUAUCAAGAAUAUUUAAGAGAAUAUUCAUGUCUGUUAUUAGGGUUUGAAAGAUUCAGGCAGCAUAUAUCGGGUUUGAUACAUAACUUAAGAAUCUUAAUCUUUUGGAUUAAAUUAUUGUUCAAUUUCAUGUAUAUUAACAUUGGCUAGUUUGACUUUAGAUUCAUUGUUAAGUUCAAUAUGAUAUCAAAAUUCAAAGCCAAGAUCCUCAAAGGAAAAAUAAGUGAGUAAAAAAAAGAAAGCUAGAUGUUGACCACAGUCAAGUAAAAAAUGAGAACAUGUCUAAUCGCUCUUUGAUAUAUUCUUAUGAAUAAAGGAAAGAUGUUAAAAGAAUAUUUAUGUAUGAGGUGAAGAUUAAAAGGACUAGAAUUGCCUUGCAUAAUUAAGGAUUAAAAAAGCUGUAUGAUAUAUUAGGUUUGGCACAUAGAGUUAAAAAAACUGAAUGAUUUCUAUGAAACUAUAAUAACUAAUAGAGUUAUGUCAUCUCAGAAUUUGUAAGUGGUCUAUGAUCACUUCAAUUAAUCAAAAAGUUAAUUGCUUUGCUGUAUAACCAAAAAGGGAGAUAGGGAAAUUUGCUCAAAACAUAAGAAAGAUGUAACAAUGUAAUUGACAAUAGAAUAGCAGAAGUAAAAUGUUGAUCACCUCUUACGUUGAGUUUCCUUCCUUUUUAAGCUCAUGUUUGCAGAAUGACCUCAGGAGCCUGGAGACUGAUCAACAGCUAAUCCAUCAAAAGAAUACUCUUCACGAAUGAAUUCAUUAGCAUGGGUCCUUUGCUUUCUCAUACCUGCUGCAGAAUUGUUACCAUUCAUCGAAGACACAUUCUCCCCGAGCAUUAGAAUCAGCAUGGAUGCAGAGAUAACUUGAGAAUCAAGUUUGACAUUAGAGAAGAUAAAAGAAUGAACUUAACCUGACAUGGCUAGCUUGUUUCCCCCAAACAUUUGUUAUUGGGCUGUUAUGCCACCAUUGGAAUUGUUCUGUGAACUGAGCAGAAAUCCCCAAAGCUCCUCAAGAACUUCUUUUCCAGAAAUCCCGUGAGUUGGAUCUGAAUCUGUUUCCCAUCCACCACCUGCAUAACAACUUAAAACUAAGCAUCUGCAUUCUGCACAACUGUGAUAUACUUAAAAGCAUAGACAACGAGAAGUCCAUAAACGAAAGCCAAUGAGGGCUUCAUCCUCAAACCCAAGAAGGUCGCCCUACUCGCAAUCCUUGGCCUUAUCACAGUAAAUCCAUUAAAGACCGAAUCGGUUCCUUCGAUCGCGAGAAAGAGGAUUUCGCUUACCAGGAACAGGAAGAAGCCGCCCGACGUCUUCUUCCCCUUCCUCUAGGGAUUCGAUGCGAGGGCCACGAGCGGGUGCGAGAGCGCAGGCGGCAAAGAUGGUUUCGAAACGCAGAGAUCGCGCAUUUAUAGUUGGGCUCGCGCGGGGAACAUCGCCGUGUAUUGGGCCUCACAUUUGGCCCACUAGUGGAUUCAACAGGCCAAGAUAAUGGGCUGAUCCGUAGAAGUAAAUAAGCCCAUCGGUAUCUCCUGAGGACCUCAUAGUAUAAGAAUACGACUCUUCCAUGUAUUUGGCAUUACUGUCACUCGGGUUGGCUAUUCGACCAAUAAUAGAUUCGAAUUAAGUAAUAAUAAUAAUCAUAUAUGCCCAUGUUUUUGGACAUAUGGUGACUUAUUUUAUGACAUAAAAUAGAAAAAAAAUGAAAUCAUAUUAUUGGUGAUGAGAUAUUGAUCGAAAAAGAAGAAUUCAUCAUCCGUAAUGAUCUUAUAAUUGCAUAUCUAAGAGUUCAUAUAAUAGGACAGAUGAUCAUAAAAAUUGAAAGAGUAUCCUGAGAAUCAUGGUUGGAGAUAAGGUGAUGAUCAAAGUUAAUUACGCGUCAAAUUUGAAUAUUUCGGAGUCAUUCUUUAAUAUGGUACUAGGGUGUCAAUCACAUAUUGUUAAAUCGUCGAUCCGAAGGUGUAUACCACAUGUUACUGAGGUAUCGACUAUAUAUUGCUGAGUGUCGAUUUUUUUAUUUCUAAUGGUUAUUUCAUUUUAUUUUCAUUCUUAAGUUUAUAAUAGUAUAAGACAGCUUUCUAGAUACUCCUCACUUGCUCCUUUCAUUGCUUUCAACUGCAAUCUUCAUAGUGGAUGAAAGGAUAAGUCCAGUUUAGAAGAAGCUCUUCGUGUUGUAGUGGCUAAGUGUGGUUUGGUAGUUCAGACAGCAGGAGCAAAAGUAGAGUAUGUUGUGCACCUUCUUGUUGAUUUGCAUGUCCUUCUCAAUUGUUUUUAGCUUAGCUUAUCAUCCACCCACUGUUACUGAGCCAGAUUGAUUUUGAAGUCCCAACUCUUAUCUGGAAAGCUUCGAUAGAAGAACCUUAAAACAAAAGCUUUCUGGGGAGGAAGAUGGAGAAAAAUUGUUAGGACCUUUUGUGCCAUUUCGUUUGCUGACCACACAGAUUUCUUGCAAGAAUUCCUGGCUCUCAUUUCUUCCUCAGGCUUAUCUAUCAUCUGCAGCUUCUUGACCAAGUAAGAGAAGACAAAGUUUUGGUGUCUUGUGAUUCUGAGGAUUCUAAUUGGUAGUAAGGCAACCAAUCAAAUUUUGUGUUGCCACAGUCCUGCAAUAAUGACAAUUGUUUUGCUGUCAUGGCCUUCCGAAAUAUUUUGCACUCCAUUCAAUUCUUUCGGGAUGAAAAGGAUGCACAAGAAAACAUAGGGCCUCUGUUUUCUUAAUGCUUUCUCUCUGCAUUUUAUCUGGUGAUGAGCACCCAAAGAACAUCGGGUGGCAAAGAAGACAUCGGCGCUCACAGCCACACUCCGCUCUCUUCCUCCACCGAAGCCACACGCAUCUGAAUGUUCUGAUCCGGACGCUGCUCACGUAACACUGUGUUAUCGGCUGCGGCGGCGACGCGUGUCCCGACCCUAAUCUCGAGCCUGUGGCUCUUACAGUCCAUCAAGACGAUCCACAGGAUCAUCAUGAGGAAGAAAGAGCUCGGAGAUUGCACUCCACACCAUGGUUCAGUCCACAGCCUCCCCAUAUAAAAUUGCUCCCACUUCCAACAAGUUUGGCAUUCGAGUGGUGCGGCUCGUCUUCCUCGAUCUCCGUCCGUCGAAGCUUUUCGGCUAUCUGUCUCGCUCUCUCCCUCGGCUUCCAGAUGGCUGCCGCUGUCUCCACCGUGGGAGCCGUCAACAGAGUGCCGGUACUGCUGUCUUCCGCCCACCUUUCUCUUCGUCCUUGUCGAGAAUUCUCGGUUAUGUAGAUCUGUUUCUUGCUCCAGUUGAGCCUGCAUGGCUCUAGUUCGGGAGCCCCGGUGCCGAGCUCGGCUUUCUUCGGGAGCAGCCUGAAGAAAGUGAACUCCGGUCCGAGCCAUGGGAGGAACUCCACCGCCACUUUCAAGGUCUUGGCUGCUGAUCUCGAUGAGUCGAAGCAGACUUCCAAGGACAAAUGGUCAGGGCUUGCCUACGACGUCUCCGACGACCAGCAGGACAUCACCAGGGGAAAGGGCCUCGUCGACUCGCUCUUCCAAGCUCCCAUGGGCGACGGCACUCACAUCCCCGUCAUGACCUCCUACGAGUACAUCAGCCAGGGUCUUCGCCAGUAAGGAACCAUUCGAUAUCUUGAUCUAUCAUAGCUUUCAGCCUUCUUCCUCGUCGGUAUCCACUGAACCGUUUGGUCUCAGAUACAACCUCGACAACACCAAGGACGGCUUCUACAUAGCUCCGGCUUUCAUGGACAAGCUUGUCGUGCACAUCACCAAGAACUUCAUGGCCCUCCCGAACAUCAAGGUAAUCCCAUCCUACCUCAUCUCAUGCGGUCGCUGCCAUUGAUUUCUGGUUGAUGUGGAUUCUAACUGGGCGGUGACAGGUUCCCCUCAUCUUGGGUGUCUGGGGAGGCAAAGGCCAAGGGAAGUCAUUCCAAUGUGAGCUCGUGUUCGCCAAGAUGGGGAUCAAGUGAGUGCUUCCUUGAGUUCAUGACAUGUUGUUACGGCUCAGAGGUCUUUGGUGUCUCUCGUUCAUGCUCCGUGUCGAACACUUGGCAGCCCUAUCAUGAUGAGCGCCGGAGAACUGGAAAGCGGCAACGCAGGUGAGCCAGCGAAGCUGAUCAGGCAGCGGUACCGUGAGGCAGCAGACAUCAUCAAGAAGGGGAAGAUGUGUUGCCUCUUCAUCAACGACCUCGACGCAGGAGCGGGAAGGCUCGGCGGCACCACCCAAUACACCGUCAACAACCAGAUGGUGAACGCCACGCUGAUGAACAUCGCCGACAACCCGACCAACGUGCAGCUCCCGGGAAUGUACAACAAGCAGGAGAACCCUCGCGUUCCCAUCAUCGUCACCGGCAACGACUUCUCCACUCUCUACGCGCCUCUCAUUCGUGACGGCCGUAUGGAGAAGUUCUACUGGGCGCCGACCAGAGAUGACCGCAUCGGCGUCUGCACGGGCAUCUUCAGGACCGACAACGUCCCCACGGAGGACAUCGUCAAGCUCGUAGACUCCUUCCCGGGGCAGUCCAUCGGUAAGCUUCCCAAAAACACAAGAUUCACAUGAUCUGUCACCGACUCAUCCGAUCGCAUGUAUCUCCAUGGCCAACGUGCAGACUUCUUUGGUGCUCUUCGGGCCAGGGUCUACGAUGACGAAGUGAGGAAGUGGGUGGGAGACAUUGGAGUGGACAAGGUUGGAAAGAAGCUGGUCAACUCGCUCGAAGGGCCACCAACCUUUGAGCAGCCCAAGAUGAGCUUGGAUACGCUGAUGGAGUAUGGCAACAUGCUGGUGAAGGAACAGGAGAACGUGAAGAGGGUGCAGCUGGCCGACAAGUACCUGAGCGAGGCUGCGCUCGGAGACGCCAACGCAGAUGCCAUGAAGACUGGCUCUUUCUACCAGUAACUCCAUGAUGGUUGCAGGCAAAGCAGCCCAUCCGUCUCUUACGAUCCUCGAUGAACGCAGAGCUGCAUGCAUAAAUUCCAGGCUUGUAGUUUGUGUGGAUAAGUGGGCGAAUAUUAUUAUCAGCCUCUGUAUCGGUGAUACAUAUAUUAUGUGCAUUUUCCUCAGUUUUGGAAGGCCUAUUUGUUUGUGAUCUCCCAAGUCAAUUUUACUUCGAAGCACAAAUCUCAAAGAAAGACACAUCGGAGAAGCACACAUCUCAAAGAAGCAUCCGAAUUUGUACUGGGCCUUAAUGACAAUAACGUCGGCCCAUGACCCGGCUCGGGAUCUGACCCGGCGGUUCAGCACCCCAUUCGGAAAUUUAGGUCCAGGCCGGUCGAUGAUCGCGUCGGCUAUAACGAUCGCGUCGGUCGCCGAAGAUGGAUGCCUUCGCGAGACUCAGGUUCGGUUUCUCUCCGCUCUGGCUCAUCUUUCUCCCUUCUCGUGCUUGCCGUGUUCAUGUUUCUAGGGUUUGCUUCGCCCGAUCGUGCGCUAGGGUUUCGUGGUGUCUUUGUGGGGAGUCUGUCGGUCAAUUUCUCGUCGUUGUGACGGAUCAAACGAAUGGAAUGAUUAGGUUUAGCAACCUUUUGGCUUCGGAUCGUGUUGUGUCUGCUAAAUGUAAUAUGCUUAUUCACUCUAUCGAGUAAUUGAUGAUGGUAGUGUUAGAUCGUUGAAACCUUCACCUGUAAAUGUACACGGAUAUUAGGAUAUUGAUUAGGGUAUGUUGUUUAUAGUUGAAUCUUUAUUAGAGUUUAUAUGGAAUUUCAAUAGAAUUCAGAGAUUCUUUGAAUUCUUCAAAGAGGAUUGUUCUGGUUUGGCAAACUGCAGCCUUCUAUAGAAGCUUCAGCUGAAAUUUAUCAGUGAUUUUAUCAACUACGAUAAAAGCCUAUCUUCUUAAGUAUUGAAUUAGCUGUAUUGGAAACCAUGUUGUGAGUGCUAAAAACUUUGAGUUGCUCAUAUGGUUUAAUCAUGUUAAAGUGUCCCCAUUCAUGUACUCAUGCUGGAUGCUGAAUAAGUUACAGAACUAAGCGAAUAUGCUCAAGAAAAACACUAGAGGUACUCUUCUUUGUUCAACAAAGAUUGUUCUAUACAUCAGCUUUGAUGUCAAUGGGUUGGACCAUUUGCCAGUCUUGUAUGUAGUUAUUUCUUCUGUCGCAUCGUAUGCUUAACUGAUUUAAACGGAGAGAAUUUAACUAAUACCUUUUUAUGAUAUUCUUGUAUCACCACCUUGAUGGGCAAUGCUCUCAUUUUUUAUUCCUGGAGCUUAAACGGUCUGAUGUCCUAGACCAAGUUUGGCUUGAAUGCCAAACCUAUAACAGGAUUUGAUGAAUAUUUGGUGCCUAGAACCUAUAGUUUUAACCGUCAGACAAUCUUCUAAACAAAUGACUGUUCACCUAUUUGGCAAUUGACUCGACACUAUGCAAGUGAUUACUUCAGGUGGAGUGGUGUCGCAUAUCUCAAUGAAAAAUACUUAGAAAGUUAGAAAUAUGGUUAUUCUAUAGAUUUCAAGCUGUUGUUGUCUUCAGCUAAGCCGUGUAAACCCAUCAUCUUGACGCUUGUCAGACAUCGAAGCUUCUGAAGAUGCAUACAAUCAAUUCUAUCAUUUUAAAGAUGCAUAGGCAUAUUAUAAAAUGAGGCGAGGCAAACUCAUGACUCGUCUAAACUCUAUGCUGAGAACUAUGAAGUGAGAAAGAGAAUUACUGUACUAAGAAAGCUUGCAAAGGAUGAUCUUGUAAGCAAUAGCUCUUAGGCUCAAUCUUGCUAAAUGAACAAAUGUGCUACCACAGUUGGCGUGGUCUUACCCUCAUGAAAAUUUAAGACAUUUGUAUAUGAUGAUACCCUGCUACGGAUGCUUCGUGCUCAUUGAUAUACUGCAUAUCUACCUCCUCAGCUUGUGUAUGCUCGAAGUGCCCUUCCAUCUGUUUCGAUGCAUUUCGAUGAAAACUUCCACCACUUUGGAGUCUAAACAGUCACUUAAUAUGUUGUGAAUGUACGCACUUGUGCAAUUUUCCUACCUGAGCGAGGAUCAGCAAGUGGUAAGGGCUCUUCCUUUGCCAUUAAAGAAGAAACUGGUUCCUUCCUGUUUGAUGCAAUGCCAACAUCAGCAAAGCUAUGCCUAACAUUCCUUGGGGUUACUGCAUCGGUGAUGACAUCACGGAGUGCUUUGUCUUCCUCCCUGGGCUCCAGCUUUUGCAUCAGAUACUCUUUCAUUGAGACUCCCUUAUCCCAUACUUGCUUUGCAGUAGUCUCAUACCUUGGCCCUGAUUCUUGGAUCUUGGAGCUUAGUGCUUGGGUUGCCUUUGAAAUCAUGGUGUAGACCGGAGCAAGCGUCUCCGUUACCGUCUCGCUCAGGGUCUUGUCAUUGUCACCACCAUUGCUGACCGGUGGUUGAGGUAAGUACUUAUCCUUCACCAUUGUCUUGUCAUUGGUUGGAGUUAUCACCGUUGUUUCUGGUGGUGCAGGUAUAACCUUUACGUCACCACCAUGGUCCGAUGCUGGUUGCCUAUGCCCAUCAUUAGCUUGCUUCAUCUCUAUUUCUCUAUCAAAAGCGCUGAGCUGAGUGAUUGUUGAAUUUUCGCUGGGACUGGGGUAGUGAGUUGUUGACUGAUCAUCCGAAGCCGAAUCUUCAUAACUAUCAAGUGCCAUCUCUGGUUCGUACUCUGACGUCACAGGUAAGAAACAUCUGAUAUGCUUAGAUUAAGCCAUUAUGGUGAAUGAGCCAAACACUAAGUUCUCUUAGAUUUUGGUUUAAAUGGUGCAGGGUGUGGCUAAUUACUUGGGGCUCCAUGGUAAUUAGGAUCUUCCUCGUCUGCCUCGUCCAAGCUAACUCCCCAGGGCGGUGUGACACUAUUUUCUUUGCCUCCAUGUCUUUUCUUCACAAGCAUCUGCUUCCAUUUCUUUGCCUUCUCCUUCACCCUCACCAUGAUCGACUUCUUUGCCUGCUGUUGGUGGUGACUGAAAUCAUCCUCAUCGUUGUACAAGUUUACCAGUGUUGGUGUUGUCGGCGCCAACCAAUGUCCAUUUGGAGAUGAUUCACCUUCACAUACAUUGAAUUGCAAUGAUGUAGCAAAAUAAGAAGCAAACGUAGAGAUGAGCGGGGAACUAUCAUGUCAAGAUUUGAACCUUUCCGGGAGCGUAGAUUCUUGUUUGGAAUAAGCUGUUCUCGUUGAGGGUAGACCGGAUAUGAUCUGCUUCGUUCUGUUUGAGCCAUCUGCUGUCCUUCCUCUCUUUCUUCACCCUAUUGCUUCUGUUUCCUGGCUUCUCAGGAACAUGGAAAGGUCUCAGGAACUGGCUAAGGAAGCAUCAAGGGGAUUGCUCUGCAUUUAACCAGGGUGUGGUUGCAGAAGAUCACCAAGUUUGUAGCAGAUUUGAUGGUCGGGACGAGGUGCAACUUCUUGACCACCCUUUGCUGAGGCGCCUGUAAGAGUGCCAUAUGUGUGGGCCAUUGGAGACCUCGCAUGAGCUCAGCACCGUAUCAAAUUCGAAUAGGAGUUUGCCAUACGUGUAAGCUCGUAUAAAUCGUGUAUGUGUUGAAUAGGAGUUUUUCCCUUUUCUUGUGGGAGAUCUUUGAUUGAAGUUGUGCAUUUUAUUGGUCUUCUAAGGCACGACAUGUUGAUGGACUAUUUACGAGAGAUGAAAAAAAAAAUUAUACCUCCUCAAAAGAGGGGAAAAUUCUAUUAUCGAGAAAGAAAAAGACAUUGAAAAUUGUAUUGUUAUUUAUUAUCAUUGCAUGAUGGAACAUAUUAAGAAAGUAUGAAAAAAGAAAUUCUCAUCGUAUCUCUUUUAAAUAUUGGUUCAUUUGCCAAAGUUAGAUCCUCAAGGAAUCAUCCAUUGAAUUUACCGAUUGGGUUUAGGAUUCAGGUAGAGUAGAAUAGCGGUAUGGUAGUCCGUUGAACUCCAUAAUUAGGGAGUAAGGUGCUUCCUCAAUCAAUGAUUCGAAAGGCCUUGGAAGCCCUUGAGAUGUUGGUAUUGCAUCAAGUGGGAGGACCCCAAUGGGUGCUGGUGCCUAUGGCGAUUGAGCUACUGAUCGCAGCUGAGAUGGUGGCAUCACCUAUUAUGAUAGUUGGGGCAAGAGUGGAGCAACACCUUGCAUUAUGUCCAUUAGCGUUUGCACAUGUUGGGUAAGGUUCAGAAACGCUUUGAUAGGGAUGAGCAAGUAGCUCAAGGUCAUCAUGAGAACGAGAGACCCAGGUAGUUGAACAAACGCUAAUAUCGCAUCGACAUUUGUACCAAUGUGGAUUCAUCCACGUGCGAAAAGAGUGGUUGCUAUCCUUUGAGUGAAAAUAUUGUGAGUCGAAGGCAUGGCCUUCUCGAUAUUCGUUUAUUGAAAGAGUCGAUAGGUAAAUGCUCCUGUAACAUCAGACUUUUCUUCUAGUAUCAAAAUAAUAAAAAAAUAUAUUAUUGACGUCUUAAUCAACUCGACAUGGUUCGGACUCACAUGCAGGGUUGUUCGAAGUGCCUCCACGAUGAAAAUAUCGAGUUUGCAAAGUGCCACCUGAAUGAAGAUCGAAGUCUAUGGAGGUUUCUCAACUCGAUCCCUUCGACGCCCAAAUUAAUAAUAUGAAGUAUGUGAAUACAAAUGUAGGUGAUAAAAAAAAAAGUCCUUGCUUAUUGUGUUAAAGAUGUCAUUUUAUACAUGAUUGUAAUAAGGUAAAAUAUUUUGUAAAGUAUUUCGCACGAGGGCAAAGAAUACUCUUUUAGAAUAUUCUUCGAACUUUUAUCCACGAGCAAACGAAUGGAAGAUGACCAGGACUCCAUGUGAUGAUUAGUUAAUAGAUUAUUUCAUAAGAUAUGAUAAUUAUAAAUACAACUCAAAAAGUUAAGCCUUAAUCUAAUAAACUUAUUUGAUGCUAAUUGCAUAAAUUAUAUUGCACGAGAAUGCAUAUAACCCUAUGCUUUCCUAAGGUUAAAUUUAAAACCAAAAAAUGCUAACUCAAAAAGAACAUGUCAAGAAUGGGAUUCGAACCCAUGCCCUUUCGGACCAGUACCUGAAACUGGCGCCUUAGACCAACUCGGCCAUCUUGACCCGGAUGAAAAUGAAGCAUCUCAAAUUAUAAUAUUGUAUAAAUAUUUCUGUCAUUAACGCCACAUUUCAGCGGACCGAGAAACAGGAAGCUAAGUCUGCCUAAUGAUGAGAGAAUGUAAUGCUCUUUUACUAUGCGGUGGACCAACCCAUGCUCGACCAAUCCUAAUUUGACAUUGCUAGCUGAGAGAUUAACGCAUUCAUCUUCACCUUUCAUUCUUCCCACCUCAAAUAAACGAUCCCAAUCAUAACAGAAAGCACGGUGUCUCAUGUAAUGCGAAGGCUCUUAACAGCAGAGGCCGCCGCAUGGAAGUAAUUACGAUGCAAAUCCUGGAUUUGACGUGAUCGAGGAGGAAAGCCAUGGGUUUUGUGGAACCUUACUACUAAUUAAUGUGGAGGUGAGGAGUGUUGCCAAAGGAUUUUUUUUUUUUUUUUUGGGCCCCUCAGCAUUAUUACAAUUUCGAAAGUUACAGAUCUAUGAGGUUAGGAGGAAUAAUAAGAGUCAUUGGUUUAGCAUUUUUUUGUUUUUUAACGACCUAUCUAGGCAAUACUUAACUGAACGUAAACCCACAUCCAACUCAAUGUGUAGUGUAAUAAAAUUUAAAAUAAAAUAUAUUCCAAUGUUAUAUAUAUAUAUAAUUAAAGAAAAAAGUUCACAUGUUAUGCUAUUAAAAGAACAAAAAAGCAUCUUUGAUAAAUAAUAUUUAAAAAAAUCAUACUUAGAGGGUCUAUAUAGUGGAUCAAGAAGAUCUAAUUUUUUAUAACUAUGAUUUUGAAAUUAAUGAAAAGCUCCAAGUCAGAAAAACAUACAUCAAAAUUAACAUGAAAAAUCUAAGCUUGUUAAUCAAAUCGACUGUAUCUCAUCCUACUCUUUUAAACUUUGUAUACGUGAGACUAUUCCCUUAAAUCUUUUUCAAUUUCUGUCUCUCAUACAAAUGAAUAUUUGCGUUAACUAUCUUUUAUUUAUAAGGUUAAGGUAAACUAUAGAUCUAUUUUUCUUCUUCACUCACUCGAGUACGAUCAACAUUUCACUAGUUCAUAUUCUUUAACCUUGGUUCAGAUAGCAUGUUGAAAUUAAUCGUGAGUUAACAUCAAAGUAGUUCAAGUUUUUCUCUUAAUAUUUUUAAGCUCUAGAUUUCUAACAUUCUUUUGUUUCUUUUUCAUGAACAAACGUACGAUAAAACCUUUCACGAACAACACCCAUUAUUACUCAGCUUGAUUAGGUUCCUCUCUCUCCCUUCUUUAGUACUCUUUCUUAACAAGAGUUGAAAAGCUCAGUUCUCGUCUCCUAUCAAUCUUAACCGAUCUAAGAUUCCUCCGCUUAGACACUGUUGGCAGGAAGAUGGAUUAUAUUGGCAUCUAACAACUGUGGACAUGGUGGUUUCUCCAUAUUUGUUCUACUUUGUGGCUCUAUAUUUCCAUGACCUGCAUUAUCUAAUCUUGACAGCAAUGUUUCUCUGGAUGUGUAGCAAAUACCAUGUGAGAUUGGAACGAGCAUCAACGGUUGCACAUCACUGUAUUUUAUUCACACAAGAAGAGAAGUAUGGGGAAGAGAGCGGAAUAACUCCAUGGAGGCCUCUCUUCAUAGCCCAACUGCGUAUAACUCCAUCUAUGGCUUCCCGCAACGUAACUCGUUGAGUGCAUGCAACAAACAAGUGAUAUGCAAUGCCGUCACAACACCCGCUCUCUUCCAUCAGCAAACUCUAUCGAUCCAUUCGAUGAUAUCAAGAAGAAAGAAGCAAGAGUCAAUAACAGCGAAGCAUAUGGAUCCUAAAUGACUCUGCUGAGCAGCCGUGAGCUCACUGCUCAUUGCAAAGUGCAGUGAAGCUGUGAGCUCACAGAUCCUUACGUAAAACGUAUACACAAAAGAGAAGAAACCUACUACUAUUUAACUGUGUACUUCUUCUGUCAGUGGUAGUCUCGCCAGCAAACGAGCAUCGUGACACAGCGGCGCAUGAUGUAUAACCUCGCCCUCUGCUCCUUCACUUGGUUGGCACACCGGCUGGAGAAGGACCGCGACGUCUUUAUCGUCGUCGUCCUCCGCCGGCCUUCCCUUGUGCUCGCCGACCGUUUCAAGAACGGCCCUCCUUCCUCCUCCGCAGCCGCCACCACUCUUCUGCCCCCGCUGCAGCUGUUCCUAAUCUCCUUAUUCGCCACCUUCCACUUCUCGUCCAUGUAGAUCUCGACUUCCUCUCCCACCACGUCUACUAUUUCCGAUGGGGCAACUAAGGGUAUAUAUAAAGGGAAGGAGGAAAUUGGUGUGGAUUCGUGGUGGGCAAUGGGCAUCACCACCUGGGGUAUCACAUUUUUAUUCACCAAAGAAAAAUCUAAAUAUAUCACCUCAAUACUCUAAUACAAACUGUGCUUUUGACAUCAGCACAGAGAAAAAACAAAGAUUUCACUCACUCGCCUCCUAAAAUUCAGAAAAUCUAAUUGACCUUUAGUGCAUACAAAAAUGUGAUAACUUGGAUUCAGAGAAAAGGAAUAAACUAUCAUGUUUAAGAUCUUGCAGCAUCCACUUCUAACUAGGACCUUAAUUUGGAAGCACAAUGCUAGUAGCCUAUGAACUGUCCGGCUACAGCUUUCAAGAUGCGUACAUUUUGUUAAUAAUAUAUAUUCUAUGUAAAUAGAGCUUUUAUAUAUAUAUAUAUGAAUCAUCAUGCACAGAGGUUUACUGCGAUGUGUUCAAGGAUAAAGAUUCCUCCCAAGGUUGACCGGUCAAUGUUGGGAACCUUCUCACGCAAAUGCAUGAACAUAAACAGGAGAGAUGAGAUUCCAAAGUUAAUGCAGCCAUGUGAGAUUUAGGCUGGUCUGAAUCAUGCACUCUGUCAGUGCCUGUAUGGAAUCUUUGAUUGCUUCCAUAUGCUUAGAAGUUACGAGUUCCCUGAACCAUUAUUGAGGCACAAGGUUUGAACCUCAGAAUCUAGCUAUCAUGCAUGUACUUUGGGAAGGUAAUAUAACGGCAAACUAGGUUAUAGAUCAUACAAAACUUAACAAAUGUGAUUGUACCUGAUAAAGGGUGGCCUUCUCUACCUUAAUUUUUUGGUAUAUUUGCGUAUUAAAUUUGAAUUCUUAUGGACAUAUUUCUCUAUGGAAGAAAGCUCUUUUCCGACUUUAAGCAUAUAAAGAAAUAUUUGGUUUCUACAUUGUUGAACCAAAUUUCAUCACUUAAAUAGUCACAUUUUUCAAACUUGGAAUAUCUUAGAAUGCUAUUGUUUGUUUUUUUUGGUCUUUUUCAUUUAGAACUCCUUUGAGAUUCACUAAAGCUACAAUAGCUAAGUAUCUUUUAAAAAAUUGAAAUGAUAAUAAGAAUUAUUUUUCCAUCUCGCCCUUUCAUUGUCAGCUUGUCAUAAGGUUUGAACCCCUCUAAAAGUGUUAUCAUGAAGCAUUUGUUGGCUCCUCUGUGAGUUGCAAGAAGCAUGAAGCAUGUUAAAUGCAUGCCCUAAUACAACUAGGCAUAGUCAGGACAUGAACUCUUUGAGCCACAACAUGUAUAAGCGAAGGGCUUCAUAUUUUAUGACUGCUUUGCAUGUGGCGGCCACGAUGCACAACCUCAAAGCCAGUCAAAUCUAAUCAAUUAUAUCAAUUACUUUGGUCCUUAGAUCAAGUUGUAGUUCUUAAACAAUGCAAACACAUCGCCCUCGGGGAAGUUGCUUGCUCUUCAAACAAAAAUCAUUUUCUAUCUUCCAUUUUUCUUACUCUAGAUUUUGACCUGCCAGAACCAUUGCAACACUUGUCUUGGGCCGAUAGGGUUGAUGGCCAUGUGGGCUUGGCUUAUGCAAUGGGCUUACAGACUCCAGGUUGACACAAAGAGCCUCUUUUUUACCUUACAAACCUGAACAAGUCUUAUACAGGCAAAAAACCAAAUAAGUAAUAUGCAACUAAAAGCUUUUUGUUGUAUAGGUAAUCAUAAUGGACAUGCAAUUUUCAGAACUUUGGGGUAUAAUUGGGGGGAUAGACUUACGACAAUUAGGCUCGUUUUAAUAAAGCAGUAAUUUUUUUUAGAUUACCCAUCGGAAAUGUGAGACUAGCAAACAUGAUUUGGUUAAAAUUGGGUUGAUUCAAAUAGUAAAUGAUCAUCAAACGAAGUGCGGGUCUUUACCUUUCGUGAAUUCUAAGGGGAAUUAGAAACGAGAGCAGCAGAUCGAAUAAAAGAAUAUGCACACAACGAAUUCUCAACUGAAGGCGACGAAACGACAAACCCUAAAAUCCAAAAGGAGGAGAAGGAACUGACCUCGAUUCGCUAGGGCUUCCUCCACGAAGGAGCGGAUCGAGUGGAGGGAGUGGCGCGGCCGGCCUUCUCCGGCUGGAUCUGGAUUUCACGGUGCAGCUCCGCCAUCCGGCCGUCCAUGGCUUCCUACGGUCCUCGCGCAGCAUUGCUUCGCCAACGAAAGACCACUUUGGAGAGUGUUUGCCGCUUUAAAUUCGAGCCACGCCUCCCGGGAAACCCAAACAUUUAAUGGAGCAGGUCGCAAACGGAUCUUAUUAGUGUGAUCCGCAUCCGAGUUCCCCAUUCCCAUUGGAGUGCUCUACUAUUGCAAUUCUUAGAUAUUAAAUGUGAUGUGGGAUUAUUAGUCAUUGAUAUUUUUAUAAUAUAAUAAUAAUAAAGAAAAUAAUAAUAAUAAUAAUAUGAUAAUAAAAACUUUAAUAUCUAAAAUAAAAAAUGACAUUUAAAAUAACACUUUAAUUUCAUUUAAAUAUAUCAUUUAAAUGAAAUUAAACUUACUAUUAUAGAAUCAAUAAGAAAUAUAUCAUUUAAAAUAAAAAAAACUUAAUUCAUUGAUUCUUUUUUAUUAUCUUAUUACAAUCCUUUGAUCUUUUUUAUAUAUUUUAAAUACAGAAGAAAAAAUAAUAAAAAUACUAUCAUAUCAGAGCUAAGCAAAUAAAUUAUUUUAACCUUCAUCUUGUUAAGUAAUUUUUUUAUAUAUUUAUUUUUACCAUAAUCAAUUUAAAAAAUAAAAUGAGGAAUAAUCCUGAUGUUGGCAUAUGACAACUUACAAAUUUUGUAGAAUUUUCUAAAAUAAUAAGAAACAUAUGAAACUGUCGGAUAUAUCUCAACUUCACUCAUCUUUCAUUACUACAUGACAUAUCUGUAGAAACCUAAACAUCCAUGUGUUCUACCAGAUAUUAAACAUAUAUAUGAAACCAUGGACCAUGAAAGAUAUCAUUUGGAAGCUUCUAAGGAAAUAUUUAGUCCCUUGUACCUCAACACUAAUCUUGCAAACAGUCUCAGCAUAUCAGAUUUACAUCUAGCACAGCACAAUGAUGUAAGAAUGGAAAGGAAUUUCUUGUUUCCAUACACAAUCAUAAACAUCUCAUAGGUUACUUUCCGUAGAUUAUGAUAAUUAGAAGUUGAAACCAACAGGAAAGCCUCUGAAAUAGUUACAUGCACAAUGUUGAAUCAUACAAAGAAUAGAUUUGUCCAGUGUCACGUGAUUUACAAAACAAGAACAUCAGAGAUUAAAACGUUUUACGAUCUGCAUCGCUUUCAAUGAUUAGCUUAGGUCUGUUGAACCAGGUAUACUCGACCAUAAACCCAGCGCUUACCAGGUACCGUGAAGGAUUGCUGCAUUAUAAAAAAACCAAAAUUACAAAGAAUCAACAAUUGAAAAUGAUAAUUUUAAUCGUCAUGGAUCGCAACUAAUGAAAGUCUAGAAAAUGGAUUUGGAUGGUAUCUAAUGCUCUUCCGACAUCGCAGUAUCUGUUGAUGAUCAGAUUAUCGCAUGACCAUCAUUCUUAAAAAAGAAAUGUAUCAUCGAGGAAACAUAAAACAAACUGUGUUGUAAAUAUAUAUUAUUGAUCUCCAAGCAAAAUGUUCAGUUCCAAUAACUCCCUAAUUACACAUGCCAGAGCGUAAACUUUCAAAAAACAUUACCAUUACAAAACUUAGUAGUAAAUCUUCAGCUAAUCAGAAGCUUGAUAUUCUGUAUCAAAAUCUAAAAUUAGAUGACCAGAUAAUCUUAUAUGAAAUGUUGCAAUAACAUGAAUUUGAGAAUCAGAUUCAGAUGUGUAUUUGGAUGUCUGGUUCAGCAAGGAGGGACAAAAGACAUGGAGACAUACGAAUAAAGUUUAUGAUAUACAAUAACCAGUGAUUUAAAAAGCGCUAGGCGUCAAGGUCCACAAACGCCCGAGGCGCUAGGCGCUCGCCCAGGCGCUCGCCCGAGCGAAGCGAGGCGCUAAAUUAUAAAAAUAUAUAAUAUAAUUAUUUAAAAUUAUCUAAAUUAUAAAAAUAUAUAAUAUAAUUAUAACAAUAAUUUCAAAUAAAUAAAAAUUAACAACAUUAAAAUCAAAAUAAUAUAUUAUUAAUCUAUUAACAGAAAAUUAAUCAUUUAAAAAUUCAAAUAAACUUAAUAUUAAGAGUAUACUGAGCCUGAUGGAGAAACGAGGAAGCAGCGGCGAGCGGCGGCGAGCAGCGGCAGCAGCAGCAGCAGCAGCGACGGCGAGUGGCGGCAGCGGCAGCGGGAAAGGGAGCGGAAGGCGCGAGCAGCGGGAGGCCUCGAGGGAGGCGCGAGCAGCGGGAAGGCUCGCGGGAGGCGCGAGCAGCGGGAAGGNNNNNNNNNNNNNNNNNNNNNNNNNNNNNNNNNNNNNNNNNNNNNNNNNNNNNNNNNNNNNNNNNNNNNNNNNNNNNNNNNNNNNNNNNNNNNNNNNNNNNNNNNNNNNNNNNNNNNNNNNNNNNNNNNNNNNNNNNNNNNNNNNNNNNNNNNNNNNNNNNNNNNNNNNNNNNNNNNNNNNNNNNNNNNNNNNNNNNNNNNNNNNNNNNNNNNNNNNNNNNNNNNNNNNNNNNNNNNNNNNNNNNNNNNNNNNNNNNNNNNNNNNNNNNNNNNNNNNNNNNNNNNNNNNNNNNNNNNNNCGCCCGAGCGCCUUUUGCAAUCACUGACAAUAACUAUAUUUUAAUUUUAUAUGAUUGUGAAAUCUCAAGAAAAAAAAAUGCCUUCAAAACAAGGGAGAUUAAUUUCCGAUUUCAUUAUGGUAUAUCAUACUGAUCAUUAUGAUUGUUUAACUCUCAAGUUGACAUUCAGUUUCUACAUUCAAAAACAUGGACAGGAAUAAGUAAACCCACAAAAGGAUAUGCAUCUCACACAUUUCGGGAGGGUUAAUGCAUGAUUACAUAACACCUCACAUGAUGAUUCAUAUGAUGGCAACAAGAAAUUAAUACAGUAACAAUGAGAAUAGAGAGUGCCAACAAGUGCAUUUUCAGUUUAGAAGCACCCAUUCAUAUGAUACAAAGGGAAACUACAUACCUCCACCUUUGUUUGAAACUCCAAGGAGCACUCGCAUACAUGACAAGCUGCACGGUGAGGAUGUCCGGUCGAGUUUUCUGCCCUAACAAAAGUAAAGACCUGCAGAGCAAUAAGAUGGAUUAUAGCAUUACAUAGUUUUUCAAGCUAGCAGAGAUUAUGUAUUCAUAGACUAAGCAAAUGAUUUAAUAGACCCCGACCUCCUCCCCACAGUUGGGGCAUGAGCCUUUCAUUGCAACCAGUUCAUUCCUCCAAAGACCUUGCAAUGCUUGGACUAAAAUAAAGAACCAGAUUUAACUAGUAGCCUCCCAAACAUUAAACAAAGAAAGCUGGGAAUUUAAUAAACUUAAAUCAUCUAGAAAGUACAAAGACAAUGAUGACUGACCUACUAAUAUGCAUGACACAUAAGAAAGCAUUCGAGCAAUGAACACUCUAAUGCUGAUGGAUUUUGAUUCAUCAUUACAUGCUUUCCAAACAAGCUAAUAAAGCCACAAAGAACAAUUUGGUUUUUGACAAACACUGGCUAGUGUGUUCAUUCUGUCGAGAUACAGUAGGUUAACAAAUGAAUCCUAAAUUUACAUAACCUCGUCCAUCCGAUUUCAAUUUCAUUUUUCUCACUUAAUCAACAAAUACUAGACAAUUUCUUUAACACCUAUAAAUAUAAGCAUUAUAUAAUUAUAAACACAAUAUUAUAGAUAAGAGAAAUGUUAUUGGAGGACAGGUUACAUAAUCAAAAGUUUAUAACACAAUCAAACAAAAAGGUUUUAACAGGUAUGCUACACAACUUUGCACUCUGCAUUACGAUCUAUGCUUGAACUUUGACCGUGAAACAUGCAUCAACUUAAUACUACCUAAUAUAUGUAACUUUGGAUUUUUUUUUUUUUCAGGUUGAGGUGCACCAUGUUGUCUGCAAUAUGCUGUUUUACGUAUUGCAUUUUUCACCAUAAGUAGGAUUGUCUCCCAUCCCUAUCAGCACCCAUCUCCACCCUCUAGCAUGUACAACAAUGUUCGUAUUUGGAAAUUUCUGUAAAAUUAACUUAUGAUGAUUGCAGAAACUUUUUUGCAACAUCGCAUAAUUUUAAUCUAUACAUCGCAUAAUUUUAAACUUUUUUGCAACUUACUUGAAGCAAAUGCAAGAGGAUAACCAACCAGAUGUCCCAGUCCCAAUAUUAGAGUUUUGUUAACCAUCAUAAGCGAUCCAAAUGUCGAUAUUUCACUGUAUAAGUAAUAUCUUGAGUUAAUCGCAUCAGCAAAAGCCAGAGUGAUGAUACAAAUGACAGGCACGAGAAUUGCUGAUGAUCCAAAUGCGAGUAGCACCAACCAAACACUUGCUAAAGCAAAAGCUUGUGAAGGAUCUUCCUGCCCUAAACACAAGUCAAAUCAAAACCUCAACCAAGUAAAAGGAAGUUUCCAUGAACCAGAAAAUAGAGAGGGAAAAGGACACAGGCUAACAAGAAUUUACCUCAGCAUCUGCAUAGGUUGAUUGUCGCCUGAGGCUACAUCGAGGAUACUUAACAACAGAUUUUGAACCAUACAGCCGCAACUUCAACUGUUAUAGAAAAUACAAACGUUAAGCAAAAGAUAGUGAAAAUGGACAUGAAGGAAAGACAGCCACUUGAUUAUACCUCAAUUUUAUCAAACAUCGCAUCAACAAUCAAAGGUUUACCAUUGUAAUAUGAAUCUCGUGCCUACAACAUAAAAGCAAGAUGAACAAGUAGAUGAAUUUACACAUCCAAACUUCCUAAUUCUGAGGAGAACUUCCAAAGAUCAUAAAUAAUGGACAUAACCAUAAAUAACGCUUUGCCCAAUGUUUCAUUUCUUUCGAUCAAAAUAAAAACAGAGCUCCAGAUUAUGACUUAAAGUGACUGCAACAAGAAAAAGUAGUUCAAUUCAUCUCAUAGGCAAAUUAAUUGAAUUUCAUGCUUCCUGGUACAAAAGAAAAGCCAAAGAAAAUCAUAAAACUAAAGUUCAUCUACUUGCAGAAACCUAUCAAUUAAUGAACUCCAACUAAAAAUGGAUGACAAAAAUAAUUAGCAAAAGAAUGAUGAUAUGACCAAACUUACUUAAAUGUAUUAUGAGGCAGAAAAUUAUCGAACCAUUUUGGAGGAUGAAGGUAAUUAGAAGCUUUAUGUGGUUUAUUCCAAAAACAAUGAAGCUCAUGUUGCAAAUUACUGAUCUCCCUGAUCUGUAGAGCUGAAUCUGAAUCCUAUAUAGACUUCAAGAUUUAUAGUACUGCAUGUUAGUAAAUUUUGCAAACACAUUUAAAGAAAAGGGAGUUCCAAAUAUGCACAUCAGUUCUUGUUCUUCUUUAUUUAACAUCUAGCACGUUUGAAGAUUGCAGAAUCUCUUCAUUGUUAUCCUCGAAUAGUCCAGUGUGUUAUUUGCCUCUUGCAGGAUGGACAUCACAACAAGAAUGCUUUUACCUGCUGAUAGAGGGCCUCCAGCAUCUCCUUACUGGCGGUCUCGAUAGGGCCGACGUAGAGGCAGGAGGGGGCAUCCGCCGCGACCGCGAGUACCGGGGAGAACGACCUUCGGCCGCCGCCGCGCGGCCGCGGCCGGAGCCGGUCGUGCGCGGAAAGGGGGCGGGCGCGGAGGACGUGGAAGGCGGGGACGGCUGCCGCUGCGGAGGAGGAGGACGAGGAGGAGGACAGGGGCAUGAGGCCCGCUGGCGCCUCCGCGCGUGGAGGCAGCGGGCAGCGCGGUGUAAUCGCGGCCGCAGACGCUGCGUUGUGGCCACCAUUUAAGAAGCCACGUCUCUCGACGCACCACCACAAGACGAUCGCAAGCGUGAGUGGAUGUGUGUCUCUCAUUGGAUAUUUCUCUUUCAGCUUUGCGCGGCCAAUCAUCGAAUAUAUAAAUAUACAUAUAAUAAUAUCUGUUAGUUUUGUCCAAAAUAAUAUGUCCAAUUAAUCUGUGAAAAUGAUCUUAUUUUGGUCUCCCAUAAAAUAUAUAAAAGAUGAAAUUAAAAAAUUACCCCACACAAAGAAAUUAUAAUAACCUUUUUUUUUUUUACUUUACUCAAGACAUUAGGAAAACAUACAAAGUGGAUUAUCCGCUUUGCAUCGAAAUUAUUAACUCAUCCAUAAUUUCUUAUCUCAAACGAAACAAAAAUAAUAUUUUGUUUAAAGAUUCAUUUAAUAAAAUCUCACUAAUAUUUUAAAUUUUGAUUCUAUAUUAAAUUAGAUUACAGUUAAUUAUGUCAAAUCUUAUGAACACGAAUCGAGUCAAAUUCAAUGCAUGUAUCAUUAAAGCUAUUGGAAUUUAUACACCGAAAACAUGAGCGAUAUCAAGAGCAUCUAUGAAGAACAGAUGAUACUGAAAGAGAACUUGCAAGAUACAAGAUUACGCCUUUGUGUUCUUUCUAUCCCCUAAGUAGGAAGCGAGGAAGCCGAUGGCCUUGGAUGAGCAAUCUUUCUAUUCCCUACAUCUUCCCAGCUUCUCCAACGAGGCAUGGCGGGCCGUUGGCCACUUGAGUUCUGUUCGGUCUUGGGGUUUCUCUCGGCAUCCUUGCCAUGCUGAAGCUGCUCCAAUGCCACUACCACUUGAUCCAUGGUUGGCCUGUGCUUUGUUUCCAAGGACAGGCACCUGUCUGCGAGACCGGCUAUUUUCUGGGCUCCUGCCAGUGAGUACUGUGCUCUCAAUCUGGAAUCCAGGAUGCUGAUGAUCUUCCUCUUGCUCGCAAGAUGAGGCUUCGCCCACUCCACCAAUUUGUACUCUCCGGUGGGGCGGUUCUUGUCGAUGGCACGUCGGCCAGUCAAUAUCUCGAGAAGAACAACUCCAAAGCUAUAGACAUCACUCUUGGCAGUCAAAUGUCCUUUGAAAGUUUAUGAUGCAAAUCAACAAGUCAGCACAUGUCUCAAGCAUCACUUUCAUUAAGAAUGUAUGCUCACCAAACCUACCUUCUCCAUGUAAUGUGUAGAAGAUUACAAUCUAUAAAGAUGAGAGAGAAAUAGUUUACCCAAAGUUACACGUAAUGACUACUCGGAGGCACCCUUAAAUAAUAUCUUUAUUUCCUCAUUGACUUGACUAAUAUUUAGCUUAAAUAACUCCAAGGCUCUAAUCUCAUGUAAAUCACCGAUAUAGUAGUAAUCGGAAUGGCAAAUAAAGGAUGAAACAAGAUGCCUAAUCACUAUAUAAGCUACAAGGCCGGCCAUCUCCAACAUUACUUGUUGAUAUUUCACACAAACCAAGUAGUAAGCAAAGUAUUGUUUGAGAUGAUAUGUGCUAUUGCUUUUGUGGCAAUAGUUUUAACCAUCACCUUAUGUGCAGAUUGCAUAAUUGAUCCUAUUUAAAAGUGAAGCAUUCUAAAUAGAUAUACUAAAAGCCAUGAGAGGCCGAGUUGGAUCAAGAUAAACUAAUGGUAAGUAAAAUGAUAAACGAUAUAAUUAGUUUAAUAGACACCUGACCAACUCAUGUGUUCAUGAGGAAAUUGCAAAUUUUAUGUGACUUAAAUGACUAAACAGAUGAGGGGUUUUUGUGAAUUACAAAUCAGAUGACAAGCAAAAGUAUUCCAGGCUGUGAAGAAGACACAUUCAGCAUUUGCAAUAAUAAAGAUGCAACAAAAUUACCUGUUGCAAGAUACUCAGGAGCAGCAUAUCCAUAUGUCCCCAUGACCCUUGUAGAAACAUGGCUUUUAUCACCGGUAGGACCAUCUUUCGCCAAUCCAAAAUCAGAAAGCUUUGCAUUAUAAUUCUGUACAUAAAUCGGAAACAUCAAUUCUGAAAGUUGAAUGAACGUCCAUUUCAAUGUUGAAAACCUAGAUGACUACAUACUGAAUCAAGAAGCACAUUGGAGGUUUUGAAAUCACGAUAAAUGACUUUCGCCUUGCUGCUAUGCAGAAAAGCAAGUCCUUUUGCAGCUCCCAGAGCAACCUUCAUGCGGAGGUUCCAGGAGAGUGGCUGAUAGUAUGAACUCCCUGCAUCACCAUAAGAGCAUACAAACUGAGAUUCAUACAGAUUGAAGUAGAGUAACAGCAAACAGUAGCAAUCUCUUAGAAAACAAUUCCUUCAAGUAAAACGUGAAGAACACAUCCGGUAUAAUAUCAGAUACAGUCCAUGAAGAACAUACUCCUGAAGAGAUGAUUCUCCAAGCUUCCCCGAGACAUGAAUUCAUACACAAGAAGUCUUUGUUCAUCCUCCAAGCAGUACCCAAUAAGCUUUACAAGGUUAGGAUGAGACAGCUGACUCAAGUAAUUAACCUCCGCCUACAAGAUUUAAAGAAGAUGCUAUUGAGACUACAUGUAUCUGGUAAGCUACAGAAUAGAAUUUGAAAUCUAAGUUACCAGCUCGAUAUACAUAUCAUUCAUACAUGAGGUGGAUCUCAACACUAAGAAAUCAGAGAACAAAAGAGAGCAAAGAUUUUGCAGGAAUCAAUACUCACCAACCAUUCUUUGUGACCCUGGAAACCUUCCUGGUUGAGUUUCUUCACAGCGAUAACCAUUCCAGUCCCAGGCUUAGCUGCUGCCAACGUGUGCUCAUUGAUCCAUCCCUUGAAGACUGAACCAAAGCCUCCCUCUCCCAACACACUGUCUGGCCGGAAAUUCCUGGUGGCAGUUCUGAGUUCAUUGAAGGUGAAGCUCUUCAGAUUGGAUGACGUCAAGAUCUCACCCUCACUCCGUGGAGUCGGCGGCACGGAGGACGCAGACACCCUGCUGCUGGAACUGCUUAAAACGUUUCCCUUCCUGCUCCCAUGUGGAGAGUCCUCUCCUAGGCAUUCAAAUACAGUGUCUACUAGUAAAUCAGACUCAAAAGAAAAAGCCACAGACAAUGCUUUCAUCGUAAACUCUUGCAUUAGCCAAUCAAUUGAAUCAAGUAAUACAACUUAGCACAAUUCAUCACCUUACUUAACAUUGUGGAACAAAAAAUACGAGCGGCAUACUUUACCAGAUAAAUUAGCAAAAUUGAGCCUAUGUUUGAAAGGAAUAACUGCUAAUAGGCAAUUUCCACAAAAGAAGACUUACACGGGAAUAAUUCCAAGAGAAACACAAAAUUCACUCUUCCAACACUAUAUAUAUGUGUGUAUAUAUAAGGCAGUAAAACAACUCUUAUUGAGUUGAUCGAUAUGCCGAUCCAUCAAAUCGAUACCUCUUCCUACCCCUCCAAUGACAAACUGAAAUGUUGUUUGCCCUAAAUUAUUUCCAAAAUUAGAAAUUUAAUGAUCUCUAAGAACAGAUUCAGAACAACUUACUCCCUUCAGGGAUGACAAGGUGGGAUCUCUGAUGUGGUAAUAGGAAAUUGUGAUAUGUCACUGCCGUGUUAACAUGACAUCAGAUAAAUGCCCCAUAUUACUGGUCCACAUUAAUUAAUGGAUGACAUACCUGCAUCUGCAUGUCUCCUUGGUGCCAGGAUCAUUCAUCGUGCCACUACUCAUCACCUGCGCGGUAGCACAUCUGACACCUCUUCUUAGAAGGUUUAACACUAGGCAUUAAUGGACGACGGAAAGGGGUCAGGUAGGCUCCUCCGUCCGCCUCCGAACGACGACCAAAAGUGAUUCAUCGACAAGAGAACGGUGGAUUCCCUAAUCUACCAUACUAUCAUUAGUAAUCCCUCAGAGAAGACAGUUAAAUAUUGCAACUUUUUUCACUUAAUCCACUAAAAAACCAUUCAAUUUCUAUGGAAAACGUCCCAAGGUUAUAAGCUAUGAUCGAACUCAGAAGCUGCAUAAAACAAGAUGGAACCUUUAGUACCUGAAGCGAAGACGUCGUGGGAGGGGUUCUCCGCCUUGACCUUAGCGCCCCAGCAAUUACCCAUCGGAGAACAACCCAAGCGUGACGACAGCCACGGCCUUCAAUCUACUGGCAACCCCCGAAAGAUAGGGUUCUCCGCGGCCAAAUCUGUGAGGCAAGAACCACCGGAUCCGGCAAGGAAGCAGCCUUUUGGCGCAGUAAUGCAGCAGGAAGCCGAGGUUAACAGCGAUUCGGCUUGCUCACCAAGAGCGGAUCUCCAGUUGCGGAGCUCCAAAUGAAAGCUGGGAUUCAGCGGCGAAGAGGAGCGAGCUUGAAUCGAGUGACGAGUGGAGAGGGCGCAUAAAAAGAAGAGAGAAAGAGGAAGAGAGAGAGUGAUAGGUGCUUCUUUUUGCGCUUUUGGUGUUCUGUGUUGCUUUUUAUUAAGUCCGUCACGAAGGUUGACUUCAGAGUCAUGGAUUGGAGAGUCGUAAUUAAUAGCGACACAAACUAUAUAUAUAUAUAUAUAUAUAUAUAUAUAUACUCUUUCAUUAAUAUUGUUUAUAACAGAUUAUUUGAUCGCAAGAAAUGAUAAACUUUGAACUAAAUAUAGGACUUGGAGUCCUUCGUUCUCAUAUUUCUCAAUCAAUAUGGAACUAAAUAAUUUUAUUAGUGUUUUAUUCCGAAGGGGAGCCAAGGACGAGUUUGCUUGGUCGAAGUGUAAGCAUCGGGUCCUCCUUCGAUCGGUCAAUCAUUAGUAUGAUCCAUAGGCUCACGAGGAAUUAUCCAUUUUGUGCAAUGGGCAUACCCGUAUAAUUUAUCAUUUACGAAGCAUUAAUGCGGUCAUUAGUGUGGCUCAUAGGCUUACGAGAAAUUAUCCGCUUUAGACAAUGAAUGUAUUCGUACGAUUUUAUCCUUUUUCAUAUAAGCUCCGUAAAGCACUUAGUUCCAUAAGGGAGAUUUCAUGAACUUAUAAGUUCUUAGUUCCAUACUCCUCGAUUAAUAUUUGAACUAAAUGAUAUAUAUAUAAUCACUGUCCACGACUUUUCCACGUGGAUUGAUCUUUCGUCUUUGAUGUCAAUUCCAGCCUCUGUGCCAGUCUAGAAAGCAAUAAUACUUCACGUAAAUAAUGGCAGGAGCAGCUUUACAAGUACGGUUACAAUGGAUCUGCAAUCUUAUUUGAAAGCUCUGGAGGUGGGUUUACUCUCUGCGACAUGACACCGAGAUAAUAUAAAGCUUGAUAGGAAUUGAUAUAUAGAGGAGAGAGGCUUAAGGUUUGGCAACUCUGUCGUAUCACUGUCUCCAUUAAUUGGAGUUUGCUCGAGGGAAGAAUGAGGGAGGUCAAAAAGAGGGCUCUGCAACUUGCGGCAGCGGCACGAGAUUGCACGUAAGUGUCGACCAAAAGCUGUGGUCUCAAACGAACAUGAACACCUCACGAGAAUGACAUGAAGGAUUAGGCCAUGGUUGAAGUGUCUGCAAAUCAUAAUCUCAAAGAUAUCGAGAUGACAAAAUCCGAUUACGUUCAGAUGCAAUGUCCUCAAUAAAUCCGAUGAAAGUGCCCUAUAUAUACGUAAGAGUCGUGAAGGAAAGCUGCGUUUGGAUAGAAGUGGGGGCAGACAAUAAUAAAGAGGGGGGGUCGACUUCGUAAGAGGUUGAGCUGUGUCCCCAUGUGAGGGAGCUGAAGCUUUUCUUCCUCCCUACUGCAGAGAGGCGGAGGAGGGAGGAGGCAGCCCCCACUUUGACUUGCUCGAUUUCUAGAUGACGGACAAAGAGCAUGCACCAUUAUUACAAGGAUGCAAGAGAUGAAGGAUAACAGGAGGAAGCAGGCUGGGGAAGAUGAUGUGCUUCUCAAGGGGUACGAAGUGGGGUGAUGACGUCUCUAACAUGUCUUUGGAUUCGUCAUACUGUGAAAGUAAUGAAACUAAACUUUCCAAGCCUAAACUACACAUUUCCCUACAAUUCCCGCAUGCAAGAAACUAAACUUUCAAGUCUAAUCCCUAAAGGCAACGAAUGGAAGAAAGAAAAAAAGAAAAAAAGAGGGGAGAGUAUAUUAUAAUACAUUAAUUGUGAAUUAAAAUGCAAUUAACUAAACGAGGAAACUAUUUGCCAUUACUGCAUGUAAACAGAUAUAAUAAGACAGUAAUUCUCAUGGCAAGUUAUUUUAAUGAUCCACUAGCACACGUGAAAGAUAGAUGUCAUGAAAGCAUCUUAUUGCUGUCGGCAUUGCCAGCUAAAAUGUGGUAAAGAGCAGGUCUCCCAAGUGGUGGAGAAGCUGAACUUACAAUUAGUUGGAAAUGAUAAUUAUCACAAAGCAAAUAAACAAGUUGUGCCGAUUUUUGAGAGUUGCAGAAUCUGAAAUAUGGCUUAUUCAUCCUUGAGGUGCUUCCCUCACUCGGUUCUUAGCAAAGAAACUACAAGAAAAACCCACGGAUUCUCAACACAAAAUUCAGAGGUCAAUACAUGAGCCUCGACUUGAGAGUUAGGAGUGUGUCCUCAGGCAGACGACUUGACUGUAGCAGCAUUGAUGAUGUCCACGAAUUCCGGCUGUAAUAAACAAAUAUAGAAAGGAAAGAAGAUGAGAUCUAUAGCCAACGUAACCAACAAAUUUAGAGUCAACUUGCUAAUUGAAGAAAAUUCCAAAGCACAUUCUCUUCAGUACUCAUGUCAUGUAGCCACCGUCUGCGACAUGCCAGAGAUAAAACAUGCAUCUAGCAAAGGCAAUGGGACAGCAAGCAUCUUCAUAACGUGUGAGGAUCAUGAAGUUGCCAACUAGUAGAUGACUGUUAUUCAUAUUGUGGUUGUCAACCCAACCCCCAAAAAACAAGUCAAUCUUAGUGCAAGUUGAAAUCCAAGCAAUUUUUCCCUCUGAAAAGGGUACCAGACAUGUUUUUGUGGUCAUUCUUCAUGCCAGAAAAGUAAAUUAUCACUCUUGUGGGUUUCAGAUAGUGACUAAUGACAGCCAAGAAUAUGUAAUAUAUUUAAGGACAUGCAAAUCUAGACAGACAUGUAGGAAAUAUAGACACAUACCUUCAAAGAAGCACCUCCUACAAGAAAUCCAUCGACAUCAGGCUGUGCUGCAAGCUCUUUGCAGUUAGCCCCACUUACAGAACCUGCAGGAAUUUCAUUUCUCAUGUUAGCAAAAAUUUCACAAGUAAUAUAUAAGAUGUUACUCCAUACGAGUCUCAUCAAAAAAAGGAAACACAAAUAAAAGAAACACGUAAAGAAUUACUCCCAGUUCACCAUGCUCAGUGCAACUCAAAGUGAUACAAGUACAGUCGUCUGGAACUUAUGGAGACAAGAGGAGAAAGGAAAAUCAAGUUGACAAUGAACAUUUACCUCCAUAUAUGAUCCUGGUUGACGCUGCAACUUCAGCACUCACGUUUGUUUGAAGCCACUUCCUUAAUUCCAAGUGGACCUGAGAAUCAUUGGAACAUGUGGCAGAAAUGGAUCAUAAUGAACUCUGAAAGAAAUGUCUUGGGAAAAAUCAGUAUCACAAGACAUCCUUGUGAAGCUAACAUAGCUCAGCAUGGAAAACAUGUCCACUGGUGUGAGCCUUAUGUUACCAUAGUGCUGUUUUGGCACACCCCUGAACUUGGUGCCCACGGUCUGUACUAACAGGUAUGGGUGGGCAUGACCAACAUAUGAAGUCCUUGGUGUUACCGAGAAAAAGUUUUUUCUAAGCUGCACCAUGCAUGAGCAUUAAAGAUGCCUGAUGUUACAUAUCUAGGAAAAAGAAUAAUUUAACCCUAUGAAAUUCAAUUAUACGUGGUGAUCAUAUGUUGCUAAAUAUAAAAAUGAACAGCAUAUUUUAUUUUACAGGAACUUAGUGACCAAUUAUAUUCGAGAAAUGGUGGCCGGAAACUUUAAGCACGUUUAGAUUGUUAGGUUAGAGACUUAUAGGAAGAUCAAAAACUUGCAAAUAAAUAGGCUAGGUUCAAAACAGAAUCACUUAGCAACAAGCCUGUAUUGUGUUACUAUGGCAUCAAAAAUGCAGAAAAUCUUUAACAAUUUUUUUUUGAUAUAACAUAUAUAGCAUGCCAACCUAUUUUGGCCACUUUGGACAAGACAAAUUUGACUAAUGAUUGUGAAUUUUACAUAAAAUUUGACAAAUAAAUGUGAGUUUUAGAUCUGCUGUUGAAGUAGCAUAUGAGACAUCACUGUGAUCUCCAAGGUAAAGACCUCAUUGUCCCAGUAGUCUUAGUGAAUAUAGAUGCAGAUGAUGGCAUAUUUUGGUAAAUAUUUUCCAAAACCAUACACAAGCAUUAUGAAGUAAUAUCCACAGAACUCGAGAGUUGACAUGGAAACAUGUGCAAAGAACUAAUACCUCCUGGGCCUGAGCUGGGGUAGCAACCUUUCCAGUUCCAAUUGCCCAAACUGGCUCAUAAGCCACAACCACAUUGGUCCAGUCAGAAAUCCGUUCUGUAUGAGAAAAAAUCAAUUAGACAGGGUACCUAAUAGUAAAAAAUAUUUGGUACAGAUGUUUCAUCCUACAAAAUCAGUUAGACCUACUACAUAGAAUGACACCCAAGAAUGACAGAUGACCCUAAAACUUUUUACAGUUAUUAAAGUUUAUAUCAUGAUUCCACAAGUACAAGAAGGUGCAUAGCUCAAUUGAACCAACGGGCAACAGCUUUAAUUUAUGAUAUGCAAAGCCAUAAAUACUUCUCUAGCUAUAUACAACACUAGGAUGUUUGUUGUGUACUUGAAAUCUAUUAUUAUCACAUUUUCUUCUACAUAGGAAGGGUUAAAUUGAACUACCAUUAUUAUUUAAGUCAAUGAACAUUCUAAUUCAUCCAUUGGAGAAGAACAAAAUUGUAACUCAUGAGACAUCCAAGUUAUGUAGCUAAAGCAUUUGCUUGUUGUGUCAAAUUCAAGAUUGUGAACAUCAUACAAAAUCAAAGAUGACAAAGAAGAAUUGAAUUCUUGGAAUUUAUUCCACUAAAAUAUAUUGACUGUGCUCCUAUUUGAUCGAAUGCAAUUUAGUCAGAUAAGGGCACGCUUGGGUAAAACAAUAAGAUUGCAUUAAAUUUGCCCAUAAUUCACAUUGAUACACCCAGGAUCCCAUAGUGCCAAGAGACUGCAUUAAAUUUGCCCAUAAUUCACUCAGAUAAAACUUUCCUUUUUCACACAAAAUAAAGAAAAGUAUACUUUAAAGUAACCAAAGACCUAAAACAACCACAAUAUUAACAAAUACUAGCUCAUGCUCUUCCUGGUUACAUGCAUCAGAUCUGGACACUGAUGACCACUUAAACAUGUGGCAUACCUAAAUGUUAAAUGUAACCAUCUCUUAUAUAGAGUCACAAUGUGAUUGAUACCUAAGCCAUGACCUAGCAAUAAACUUGAAACCAUACUGGAAUAUGACUGAGACACAGUUACUUAAAACUUCCCAUGCCAGCAGAAUUGAUGUAAAAACACAUGAUACAACACUUUCUUUUUACACUGGAUGUGUACACAAAACUCAGCCCACAAGUUAAAGUGACAAUAACACGAGGCAUGCAGAGUACCUGCGAUAGCUUUUGUUUGUGCAGCAACUACAUCCAUCGUGGUUCCUGACUCACGCUGCUCAAGUGUCUCACCAACACAAGCAAUCACCUUCAGGCCUUUAGACAGUGCAUAUGCAACUUUAUCUCCAACAAACUGCCCAAGAAAAUAAAAAAUGUGAAUUAGAAGGUAUUGAAUAUCUAACAAAUUUGAUGACAACUUCAGCAAAUUUCCUUGAUAGGCAUAUUAACGGGGAAGACAGCUAAAAUAUAUGAGAUAAAAUUCUAGUUGCUUGCUGGUAAAAGUGUAUGGUCAUUUUGCAUCACAAGUUGUUAACCAAAAUAUACUAGCAUAUUCUACCAAAUUACAUUGUAUACCAGAAGCUAAUACAACUUCCUUUUGUUCCUAUAAGUAUGCAUUAUAUCGUUGGCAUCCAUAGUUUAAAUAUUAUGGAGAACAAGAUCUUAUAAGUAUAAUAAUUUGAUUAGAAACUAGCAUAAAGCUUAAUCCAGCACUUAACUGAUUUCAUCGAGUGAUAAAAUGUGCAACUAAAUUUUCAUGUCGAUGCUAACUGCUGUCUUUUUUGGAACAUGCAUAACAAGAUCGGGAAAGCAAGAUAUAUGGCACUUUAGCAAGCUACUAGCUAAUUGUUAAUGCAGCACAUCUAGGAUUUGCAUAUAGCCUUUUAGCACAUAGGCAACUUACCUCAUUUGAUUCACUCAACAAAAGCCUUCGUUCAGAGUGUCCCAGAAUGACCCAUGGAAUGUCAAGGUUGACAAGCAUCUCAGCACUGCACAAGGAAAAACAAAUAUAUUCAAAUUAGGAGUGCCCAAUUGUUUUACAACAUUGUUAUAACUUAAAGAUGUGCAAGUAGGCAAUGAAAUGGCCAUUCAAAUAAAAACACCAUCAAAGUUGAAAAACCUAAAAAUAUACUACAGAAUGAACCAAAAAUAGAAACCUUAAAAAUCAAAAGUUCAUAACAUAGUAAGAAUUUGAUGAAAAAAGGCCCAUAAAAUGUGAUCCAAUGAUAAAAAUAUAAAUAAGAGAAAAAGUUGUUCUUAUUUGAACAGAGAGCAUGAACAAGUUCAAAUUCAUCUAGGGACAAAAAUCAUACCUAAUCUCACCAGUGUAAGCACCUCCUUUCUUAACCCAACAAUUUUGUGCUGCGACAUGGAAUUCAGGGCGCAACGAGCUUUUUACGAGCGGAAGAAAAACAAAUGAAGGGCUAACCACCACAUCUGCAGAGAUAAUAAUACAUAUAAUUUAAUGCGUUUACAGUGGUUGCACAUCGACAACUAGCCUAUCUAACAGUUAUAAAUAGAUACAACAUGUAAAUGACAGCAUACACAUUCUAAUUCCACAAGACAGUUUUGCAGAACAUGUGAGGAACUGGAAAAGCAACUCAGCGGAUAACACCAAUGAGUAUCAAGAACUAAAGGUUUCAAAGGCGAAGAUAUAAUUCUAUCUCUCAGUCAAAUAAAAUUGACGAUCGCUAAAUCAUCAUGAAUUUCUUGAGAAUCUAGUCUCGUUAAAACUGAAAUUUGUGAAUCAGAUGCCAGAGGGGAUGGAAUAGAAAUUAAUGUUCAGAAACCAUCUGAAUAACGCACUGACUAAGUUUCACACCAAACCAAACAAAAUUGUUGGUUACCAACCACUCAUCUAACAUCUCACUAAUCAAGCAGCAAUGACCUGGAAUCUUACCUAAGGAUCUUAGCAGUUAAUACCGACGAUAUAAAAGACAAAAAUAUAUGAGGAAACAUUGAAAGAAAAAAGAAAGCUCAAGUAGAUCUGACAAGCAAAUGCAUAGGAUUUCAUUUGUGACAAAUAGAACAAACAGUAUGUGAAUAUUUCCAAAACAUAUCCCUAAAUAUUCGAUCAAGAUCAUAGGGUUCACAACCAUACCGACAACAUCAGCCGAUGCAACUUUGCCAUCGUUCAGGAUGCUGACAAUUUUCUUGACCUCCUCGCUGGUCCCAUUCUGCGAAUACGGCCCAAAUAAAAACACAUUUAGCAUCAGAGUUCCAUGAUCUUAUAUUUUUUCCCAUAUUUAGUAGGCAAUCAAAAUCAAAGAGGACUAGAGAACAUGGAGUGGAGACAUAAAAAAGGAAACAGAGGUGUCCGAAUCCAGUAUAUCAAGAAGAUCGACUCUAAUUAGUUAAAAUUAGUGGAAACGAAUAAGAUUAAUAUGAAUCAGAGAAGAACGAGAGGAAACAGCAACAAAUCAUGCCGAUCGAUGGGAUCGGAUAACUUAAAGCUGACGAUCGAUGAAAGACGAGUAAAUCGGAGAGAUUUCCAGCAACAAGGACUGGCCAAGACCGCAAAUUUCACCAGCCAGGCUAUUAAGAUCUGCAAAAGUGGCAGUAGGGCAAAGUACCAAGCGCGAUCUAGAAAAAGGAAGAAAAGGGUAAAUGCGAGGAUUACGCAUUUCCAGUUGCCGCCGACGAAGAACUUCCUGGCCAUGUCUGAGGAGGUAGGCGACGAUGCUCAAAUCCAAAAGCCCUUUCCCUUGGCUUGGUCGAAUUAGAGGAUGCGGAGGUCUGGGCACUCAUAUAUACGGCGACUGAGACGAGAGGCGAUGGAAACAAGGGGAUGCAUUGGCACGAAUCUCGAACGUGCCAUUGGCUCCGAUGGGUGUCCGCGAUCGAUCCCGCCCGUCGAAUCAUAAGGAUCAACGAUCUGCUGUUUCCCCUUGACACAGCGAAUAGAUUUAUCAUGGAAUAGAUAUCUAGACACGUAGAUAAAGCUUCCGGGACAGGACCCACAUACGUGCCGUCGUGCACAGCUGCCGGCGAGCUGACGGUGCGAGUCCUGCGUGGUGAUUGGGUUCUCGGGACAUCGAUUACACGCCGUCGAGGGCAAUAUAAUAAGAUCCAGGCACUUGUAAUACAGGAGGAGCCCAUCGGAUCGUACAUCUGUGGGUUGGAUGAACACAGCUCUCCACGAUCAUUCUAUUAUUAUUAUUAUUAUAGCAAUAUUAUAAUUAUUAUUUAAGAUCAAGAUACAGUUAACAUUUUUAGCAACUAAGCUAGUAAACAUCUUUAAUUUCUUUUAAAAAAUAUAUUAGAUGAUACUUUGACCUUUAAUAUUUGGUAAGAAAGUAUAAUAUAUCAUCACUAUAUUAAUAUUUAAUAUAUUUAUUGUAAUAAUAUUAAUUAUUAUAAAUUUAUGUAUCGGAUAAAAUAUUAUUAUAAGAUAUAUCGAGCAUGAUAUAUCUAUAUAGCUACAAGAUACAUCGAUCCAAAAUAUAAGCAUUAAUGUAUAGGAUGAACCAUAAUUGGGCAAAGGAUUUCUUAUGACCGAUGCAACCACUUAGAGCUCGACGAAGACAAUCAAAAUGUUUUUUUACUCUUUAAGAAAAUUAGAUUGAGAAGAAAACAAACAGGAAAAAGAAUUUUUUGUAUUGGGAAAAGACAGCUACUUCACAUAACAUAAAGCACCGAAUACAACACUGCUACCGUAUCCGGAAAUCAUACAUACUUAAAGGUAAGUAUGAUCGACAUCAUCUCUAAGUCUUACGGAAGGAUACUCCCUAUUUAAGAGCAACAACGCUUCAGCAACUCACGUCUGAUAUCUGCAGUUCCCGUAACCUGCCACAGUCAAAGAAUGAUCAGCGCUGCAGGAAUCAGGAAGAACAGAGAGGGAAAGCGUGAGAUCAGAUAAAACGCAUGCGUCCACUUACUUGGGUCGGUCGAGGUGAGGACGCCGCUGCCGCCAAAGUAGCAGUUGAAGUCAUGGCGGCCGGCGGCCUGGUAGUAGGCGUUCAUGGCAUAAGAGGCGUGGGCCAAGAGCGUGUUGGGGUCGAAGCACGCGCCGCCGUUCUGUAUGGCCCCGCAAUCCGCCCCGCCGCUGCCGCACGCGUAGUCGAUGUUGUUCUGCAGCUCCGCUAGGCUCGCGUCCGCCGUUGCCACGCACCACCUCCAGGAAUCACCCGAGGGCGCCGGCGCCUGCAGAAUACCACCGUCACUCGAGUAUCGAACGGAAGCAAAACUCAUUUCUAGCAUGGCUGCCCCAACCAUGUUAUCUAGCAUGACCGUCCGACCCUUUGGUAUAGUAACUUUUUUAGAAUGACGUAUUUACCCUCAAUAUAAUACGUAUACUCCCCCAAAAAACAGUGUUUAGUGUCGAUUGGUUUGAAUCAAAUAUUUAAGAUAUCAUUAAUAACAUUAUCACCGUAAAAUUGAACGGAUGUUUAUGAUAAAUUUAAAUUUAGAAGGAUAAAUACGAAUACGUGUAUAAGUAUAAUAUACGCAAUUUUGAAGUAAAAGUAAAGAGGAGGACAGGACUCACAUUGUCGCUGUCGCGCAUAAGGCCGACGUCGUAGGACGGGGAGAGGUCGGCGUUGAAGAGCCCAAAGUGCCGCUCCGCAGUCGGCCCGGGCUUCAGGUUCUCGUUGAACAGCGCGAACACGUACGUCUCGAACCGCCGGCCCGGCAUCAUCGGCGUUCCCUUCCCAGAGUUCACCAGACGUAUCAGGUUGGCGUUGUAGGAGACCGCGUCCUCCACGCUCACACCGAGCUGGCCCGGGUCCCCGGCCGACGGCCACCCCGUCUCCCCCACGGCGAUCUCUACGUCUCCGUACCCCAGUCGCUGCAUCGCCGCUUGCACCGCGUCCAGCUGCGCCACGAACAUGUUGGUGUAGUUCACCCCCGUGGCCGGGUCGAACACCCCCGGGUUGGGGCGGAAGAGGGCGUAGUCGAGAGUGCGCGCUGUGUAGCCGAAGUAGGGGUAGGGGUUCACCACGAACGGGGUGCGCGUCCGGCGGUGGAAGUCAAGCAUCGGGGCGAAGAUGACGCGGUCGUAGCCGGGGCGGAAGCGGCCGGUGGAGGGCGGCUCGGAUGCAGAGAGGAUACCGAGGGAGUGGGGGGUGGAGACCCUGAUCUGGGGGAAGCCGGAUGCGGCAAGUGCCGCGGAGAGGGAGCGCAUAGCGGGGACGAGAUGGGCGAUGAGGUUGCGGUCGGAGGUGGCGAGAACCUCGUUUCCGACGGCGAUGAGGGAGAUGUUGGUCGCAGGGUAGAAGGGGGCGACGUUUAUGGCAACCCAGGCGGAGGCAGCAGGGGAUGGGGCAGAGGAGCGACGGGAGGCGAGGGAGGGGAUGUCCCCGUUGGGGACCGUGAUCAUGAGGGAGAUUCCGGUGCCAGCGAAGGCACGAAUGAUGUCCGGGUUGGCGUCGAAGAGCUUCACACGGUCGACGAAGGUGCGGUCCUUGAGGAAGGCGGCGACUUGAGCCGGCGGCGGGAGAUUGUCCGCGAAGGCACCGUAGUUGACGCCGACGGAGAGGGCCGCGGACAAGGAGAGAAGGUGGAGUAGGAGUAAGGGGAAAACGACGAGCUUCGCUGCUUUCGCUAGAGAAGCCAUUGCCGAGGGAUUUGGGGCUUUUGGUGGUGAAGCGAGACGGCGAAGGGGGGUGGAUUUAACGAGGGAAAAAGGUGUGCGAUGUUCCACUGACGCCUGUGGGCGCUGUCACGUGGCGACGACUUCGAAACGGGGAAUACGAACGUUAUGUUUCAAGGAGGCUGCCGCGAUCCACAUUCAAAUACGUGGACGGCUGAUUGGGGCGGUCCAAACAAUAGCUUUAUGGACUAUGAUUUAGUGUACAUAAAAGCGGGCGUUAUAAAGAUUACCAAUUCAUUUCCAACGCAAAUAAUCCACGAUGAUUGCAGAUAUUAAAUAUAUAAUCACGCAUUUGUAUAUACAUAUUUGGUAAUAAUUAGGGGUUUCUUUAAUUGGAUUAAUUAAGGUAUUAAUAGCUUAAGAAACAGGAGCAAGAGAAAGAGCUUGAUGGGCCAUAAGGAGCAUUUGGACCUAACUUUGAUGGGCUGUAGAACGGCUCGAUAGAAGCCUGUCAAAAUGUGAAGCUGACGAGAACCGUUAAACCCUAACCGGCCGACUACUCCCUCUCUCUUCCUUCUCAGCGCUCCGUGCUUGCUGGUGACGAAGGUAUGACCGCUACAGCUCGCUAAGGAUGCUGGCCCGAUUCGUUUCCCAUCGCGGCCCCUUCCGCUUCGUAGCCCUAACCACCGUAGCUUCCUCCCAUGUCCGCCGCGCCCCGUCCUCUCCCCCUCCUCUCCGGCCUCCGCCCACCUUUCUUGGUACUCUUACUCGUCUCGCUCUCCCUCCCUCCGAUCCCAAUUCCACUUUCUUUCCGUCUCUGAGGUCAUUCUCGAGCAAUCGAGGUGACGAUGACGAUGGCGACUGGAAGUUUACGCCGCAGUCCGACGAGGUCGGCUCCGUAUUCGGGGAGGAGGAGGGCGACCUUGCCGGGAUCGCUGAUGCCGCAGAGGGCGGGUCGGAGGUGGCCGCCGCCGGGGCCGACGUUAAGAGCGGGGAUCUGUGGGAAAAGGGUAUUGUGACGGAGGGUGAAGGGGAUAUUUUUUACGGCAUCGAUCGGGGGUUUGUGGCCAAGGAGGGCGGGGUAAGAGAAGGGAAUGAGGAAUGGGAGACGGCGGAGGGGUACAAGCCGUGGACGCUUGGUGACGAUGAUGAGAAAGGGGACUUGUUCGGUGUCGUCGAAGAAGGGGAGGCAGGGAUUGAGGGGAUCGAUGGCGGUGGUGUCGAGGAUUUGGAUAAGGCAAGGGCUGAUGAGCAGAAGCAGCUGGAGAAGAAAGAGGAAGAACUUUUAGCUGCUUUGAAAGGUAAGAAUCACAGAACACAUCUCAAGAAAGGAUCUUCUUGUUUAAUGUUACCCGAUUGAUGUUAAUCUCAACAGUCAAUGCUUAUGUAUGUACCCAUUUUCUGCAAGCUGAUUUGUAAUUAUCAUUGAUCUGGAAUUUUCUAUGUUGCAAUAUUUAUUGAAAAGGUUUUAGCUUGUCUCUUCAAUAAUUUGAAGCUUAUCCUAGUUGUUUGUUGUCUUGUACUGUCACCUGUGCUGAUAUAUGUUUGGGAAAGAAACUGCUUCUUUCUUUAGGUUUCUCACAAAUGACUGGUCAUGUUUAUUGUUGGUUUGAUGAUGAACUUUCUUGCUGUAUCGUCUCCCAUUCCAAUUGUUUUGGUUCUCAAAAUGUCUUGUUCCUGUAGCAAGUGGCAUGAAUGACAUAUGGCAAGUAGCAGUCUCUAUUCAACAACAACUAAUGUCAAGUUGUCUUGCUCCUACAACAUAUAAAUAUGAAAAAAGCAUGAAUAAUCUGAGACACAGGCUUUGCCAUCUUUCUAAUGUGUACACGAGAGAGAGAGAGAGAGGACUCAAAAUAUAUUUUGUGUUAAACAUCUUUGUUCUAUGGUUACAUGUAAAUCCAUUGAAGUAAGAUUAUUGAUUUAAACCUAAUACCUGUGUGAAGGAAUUGUAUGUUUAUCUCAUCACAUAAUGUUGCUUCUUAGUUUCUAUUGUUGUUGUCUUUUCACUAUUUCUUCUUGUGGAGUGAUAUAUUUCUAUUUCAUCAUGGAAUGCUGUUUCUUACCUUCUUUUGGUGUUAUUGGUGUUCUUUCUUCUUGUGAAGUAAAUAUGAUAAGAUUAUGAGAAUUAAAAUGAGAAAUAAUAUAUGUUUAUUUCAUCAUAGAACAUUGCUUCUUAGUAUCUUUUGUUGUUUUCUUUGCUCUUUCUUCUUGUGAAAUAAUGUGGCAAUGUUGUGAGAAUUAAAAUGACAUCCGAGGAAAACAUAAUCUAUCUUGUUUUUAGCUCGUUUUAGCCCUUUUUUCUUUAGAGUGGUGGAUGUUCUUGAUACUAGUUUUCUCUGAGAGAUUUUACUCUUCUGUUUUGGUGAUCGUGCUUCUUUGUCAUCUUUGUUCUUUUGGUUAUCUAGCAGAACUUUUUUGGUAGUCCAAUUUCAUAUCUUGUUAUUUUACUUCUUUCUUUUAAUUUAAAUAUCCUGAAGAUAGUACAGGAUAACUGUUAGAUAGUUGAAGAUGUUUGGGUUCUGUUGUAUUGUAUGUUGGUACUUUCAGAGUAGGACCAAUGAAUAGAUAAGAAGCUCCAUUCAUGUUAAAGAGACUCUGAUUGCUUGCAUCUUGUGUUUCUCCUUAGUACACAGCAAUGCAAACUGCUUAGGGCUCAAUGUUUAAAAUGGCAGGUCCAAAUCGGGCAUUUGGAGAUCUCAUUGCAGCAUCAGGAAUCACGGAUGAUAUGAUUGACAGUUUGAUUCUCUUGAAGGAUGUAAGCGGUGUCAAGGGUUUGCCUCCCCUGACAGAAAUUGAAGACAAAGCUAUUGCAAGAUUGAAUGAGACAUCAACAAGAGUUGAAAUUGAGCGGAAGAAACAGGAGGAAGUAGCAAAAGCUCGGGUUAGAGUGGUGGAUGAGAAGGGGAGAGCUUAUGGAACAGGAAGACGAAAAUGUAGCAUAGCUCGUGUAUGGAUUCAACCUGGUGACGGCAAGUUCAUCGUCAAUGAAAAGCAGUUCGAUGCUUACUUCUCAAUUCUUGAUCAUCGAGUACAACUUCUUCAGCCUUUCAUUGUGACAAAAACUCUUGGUCUCUGGGAUGUAAAUUGCACCGUCCAAGGGGGUGGAGUUUCUGGUAAGCUUUAUGACUACAAAAUUAUCUUUGUUUUGAGAAUUAUUGUAGAUGAACGAUCCAAUUUUAAGUAGAAAAUAACAGUGAUUUAAAAAGGUGCUUGAGCGCUCGCCUAGGUCUCGGGCAAGACGAGACGAGGCUCAAGCCCCUCGUUUAAGGGCCAGGUUGCGCGCUUCAAAGAGGCGUCGCCUGGGCGCUCGCUCCAGACUAGGCACCGGGUGCUUCGGGCAAUCGCCCGGUUUAAUUAAGCAAACCGAACCAGACUUUUAAGUCUGGUUUGGUUAAAUAAUAUAGUUUCUUACCUCAAGCCACCCUUCACUCUCGCACGACCCCGAGGAACCCUAGUGUUGCUUCUGCCUUUGUCAUCGACACUUUUUGUCGUUGCCUCCGCCACUAAUGCAAAGGACCAAACCUUCCUUUGUCGUCGACUGGCGAGUCCGACGCCCCCCGUAGCUUCCUUCCGCUGUUGCUCUGUGUGCAGUUCCUUCCACUGUCGAGGGAGUGGAUCGCAAAUUCCUUCGCCACUGACGGACACCCUCUGAAGCUUUUGUCGUUGUUGCUGUUGCUGUCCGCAGCUUUCGUUGCCGAUGUCCGUAACUUCCUCCAUUGGCGCUGUUGCUAUUCGCAACUUUCGCCGCUAUCACUGCUGUUGUCCGCAACUUCUACCGUUGUCGCUGUUGCAACAAUUUUAAACUGAUCCUCUGUUAUUGUUAACAUUUUUUUCUCCCCUCUAACUAUUGUUAAUAGUAAAUAAUAUACUGUUAACAGUAUAUUUUUAAUUUAAUAUCAUAUUUUAUUUAAAUAUUUUUUAUUAUUUUAUAUAUUUUAAUAUUUUAAUAUUUUAGAGCAUUUCGUUUUGCUCGGUGAGCGCCAAGUGCCUUAGCCAUUUUGGGACCUUGGUGCCUAGCGUUUUUUAAAUCACUGACAAGUACAUGUGUCGUAAGACAUACACAAGCAUUGUUAUAAAUUCUGUUUUUCUUAGUUGACGAACUGAAAGACAAAAAUUACCUUUGUAGAUUUAGAGAGGCUAUCUUUUCUUGUUUUUAGCUAUGGGACUGAUGCAACGAACCUCUUCGCUAUUGCAGGUCAAGUUGGUGCCAUUCGCUUGGGAAUCAGCAGAGCCUUGCAAAACUGGGAACCAGGGCUCCGGCCUUUCCUAAAAGCUGGUAAAUACUCUUACCAAAUUAGUUAUUAAGAUAUACUGUGAUAAAAUUUAACAAUCCAUUUUAAAUCCUAGCAUUGCAGUGUAACCUCAUCCUCAUUGUGCUUCUCAUGAACCCCCUCUUGGAUUUAGUAACCGACCUACCUUCAUCGCCCGUGUUUAGAUUCGAGUAGUGUGGCAUAUAGUGUGGUACUUAUUAUCCAACUGUUGACAUGGCUUGUGUGCUUCAUCUAGCUGGCUAUUUGACGCGAGACCCACGUGUAGUCGAACGGAAGAAGCCUGGAAAGGCCAAAGCCAGGAAGAGCUUUCAAUGGGUCAAGCGAUAACAGGUGUGGUUGUCAUUCCCUUUCUCACUGGAGAUACACUACCCUGUCACCAUUUAGGGGCUUACGAUGUUGAUCUGGAGAUGUAUCAUUUAUAAUGUGCAGGUUCUUGCGCAUCUUCUGCUCUCAGCUAUUUGGUAUUGCUGGCCCCUCAGUGAUGUUAUACCUCUGCUUGUUUUGUAGCCUGUAGCUCAAGAGAUCUUACUUACUACUUGCUCAUCCACUUGUGAUCAUAUAAUUAAUUUAUUUGAGCAACUGUAGGCAUCCAUCUAUCAAUCUUUUGCUUGUCAGCUUUUAUGUGGACCUUCUGUGUUUCAGAAUAAAGCGAACCAUCAAUUUUUCAAAGAGACACCAUUACUGUUCCAGAAUUGAAUUGAGGAAGGUAGUGAUGAUGUCUUGUUGUUUUUAAAGGUAACGGUGUAAAUCCUUUUAUCAAUAAUGUUUCUUUAGAAAAUUAUAAGACCUGAAAGUGAAUCAGAUUAUCAAUUUAUAUUUUACAUUGGAAAUUGUGCAAAAUGAUAUGUUGAACCUCAUUUCCCUUCUCUCCAUCUCUUCCGGUUUCUCCCAUUUGACAAACUUAUUGGGAAUAUUGAUCUGAAUUUAUUUUUAUAUCUGAGGAGUUAAUGACCUGACAAAGAUACACUUUUUGAUUUAUUUGUCGAGGAUUAAAGAUUCAAUGAUCUUUUUUGAUUUAUUUGGCAAGAAUUUAAUAAAUAAACAUUCAAAUUUUAUCAACAUUUUUUUAUACCAAAAAUAUUGAUCUUCUUGUUUAUCUGCAUAAUCAAUCCACUUCUCUAAAAUCACAAGCUCAGAACAGGAAAGCGAUAUGCAUCACAGGAAGAAAACUUGCUUCUUUUUCAAGUACUAAACGACACACAACACUCGAAACUAACAGCAGACGCACACAAACCACAGACAACAAGAUAGAAGCAAGAGAGAGAGAGAGAGAGAGAGGGAGAGGUCUGUUCUCUCUCUCAGCCAUGGUGACGAGAACAACAUCCUCCGAGGGAAGAGGGUUGAGACAGUAAGCCAUGGCCUUUUAUUUCCAUCACCAAGUCCAAACACAAGUCACUAACCCCACAACACCACCACCGAUGCUGCUCCUCUCCCUCUUCAAACUCUGAUCAUCUCCCUCAUUUGCAGUUGCAGGGAUCGCAGGUGCAGUUGGAUCCGCACUUGCAGCCAUUCUCGGACCCUUCAGCUGCCAUGUCCAACUCCUCAAAGUUCCUGCAACCAACCCCAAACAAUGUUGUCCAUCACUCGUACAGUAAUCAUGUCAAAGAUCAACGUUUUCAGAGUUAGGAACAGACCCUUUCUGAGGAACAACCCCCAUAACCAUGGUUUGGGCGGUGGUAUCCCUCUCGGUCAACAAGUCAGGGUACAUCUUGCAUCUGUCAUCCACGAUUCACAAACACAUAUAUUAGGAAUUUGAUUCCGAGGAAACAAAAUAGAAGGCAAACAGAUCUUCCUACCAAAAUCAGAAGAAGAAGAAGAAGAAGAAGAAGAAAAUUCUCAAAUGUUAGAAAUAUUUUAUGAGAUGGUGUUAACUGCUGGUGUUUCGUUACCCUCCGCAGCCGCUGCCGCACUGGCAGCUCGACCCACAUCCGCAGUUGCCUCCGCAGCAAGACAUCCUUCUUCUUCUUCUUCUACCUUCUUCUCCCCAAACAAAGCAAACCCCUCUCGACAGCCUGUGAUGGGAGCGGCACCACCGCAUCUGAUUUAUAGUGGGAAAACGAGACAUCCACCGUUCACGUGUCGAAAUCAAGUGGCCCUCGAUGUCCCCGCCGCGCGCGUCGGUCCCACCAAACCUGCAUGCAAUCGUCGUCUCCCACGUAACUCUAUUCCCGUCUCACCCCACGCGAACCCCUCUCUCUUUCUCCGGUUUCUGCAGUUGGAGAUGGCAGAUGGCGUGGUCGACAUGAAUUGAUGAGAGAGACUUCCUCUUCACGACACAGUACUGUCUGCACUCCGGAAAAGAAGAAAUGGGCACCGCAAUUAUCCAUGGACGAUCGAGCGUGAUGGAAGCGAUCCGGCACAGUGAAGCCUCCGACCUGAGCUAUCCACACAACUGUAUCAUACAUCAUCCGAUAGGUUCAGCAUCCUCCGCAACACAGCCUGAGAGAGGACUUGUCUCGAUCUCAUACGUCGAGAGACAGCGGAUGAUGGUGUGUGACACGAUCUGAGACUCAAGCCACCAACACAUCACUUCAUCCGAAGACCAUAUCGAUACUUGUAAUGAGUGGUAUCGUAUUAAUAUGAUACAUCUAUUCAACGAUCAUAUCCUUUAUCAUUAGUACAUAUAGUAAUCCAAAUUAGGUUCAUAUUUCUUAUUAAUUCCAACAUGCUAUUCCACUUUUUCCUGUUCUUUUCUCGAGAUUCAUAGAAAAUGCCACUCAGCUUUUGGUCCACAUUAUUGUGGGGAAGAUGAUCUGCCCCUGCAUAGCACCUCGCGUCCUUUUUUCUUUUUCGAUGCUGUUCUUGUCGCCUACAGUCACACCCACCAAAAGCUUAACUCGUCAAUUUUAUCUUGUUGGAUUGAAGAGUUCAGAAGACGAUAACGUUGACUUAGAUCCAUUCGAUAGAUGCCUAUCAAUCACCUAAUAAUUAGAAUAUUAUAGUCAUUCGUUUAGCAUCAUCGUCGGCGACGGACGGAUGAGUCAGCUCGAUUGAUUCUUAAUUAAAAAUGUAGAUCCCUUCUAUGGAGAGACGGUGUUAUCGGUAGAACGAAGGAAUAUGUAGGGAUAGGCGGUUCACUAGGAGCGAUCCAAUCUUCAAGUAAUGAAACUUGAUUUGAGAAAUGAGUGAUCCCUUCUAAUGGGUAGCCUCUUGGCCAUGCCUCCGAGCUACAUCGAUGACCAUACAUAACAAGCUUAUGUCAUGACUAUCCGGCUCAACCCAUUUGAUGCUUAAGUAAAAAAAAAACAAAGGAAGGAGAAAGAUAAUAGUAUCGGUUGUGUAAUCAAUAGAGUAAAAAGUAUAUUUUUGUUUGCUUGUCUUGGCUUAGCUUUGGGCUGACUUUUAUACUUUAGGGUUAGGUGGAGCGGAUAAGCCUCCAUCGAGACCCCCUUAUCCUGCGUGAUGGAGAUAUUUAAUGUGGGCGACUUAUCGACGUGUGCUCCAAGGGGCAACGUAUGAAGACUAUCGAGAUGACACCUUCGGUCUGAUUUUUCUGUUUUUUUAGAGUCAAGCAGAGCACAGUCCCCUUGUUAUUCGUCCGAAAGGAAAGGCUAGUGAAGUUAUGUAAUGUCGUCAACCAUUAAUGUAGAGCCAGGUAUAUUUUUUCGAUUGCAAGAUCGAUGAGGAGUGGAUCUUGUAAACUCAUUUCGGAAAGUCAUGACAAGUGACGUGAUAUCCUAUCGACGGUUUUAGAUAAUAAGUGAUUCCAAGUUUUUAUUUAGGUGUUGCUUACGCAUCGAAGAAAAUUAAAAAGUUAAAAUUAAUAUUUAAAUUUACUAGUCCGUUAGCCAUAUAGAACUUUUAAUUAUCUUUGUGGUAUUAAAUAAAAAACAAUUAGUAAAAACAAAAUAAAAAAGCCUGCCAUUUCUGAACUUUGAGGGAAGGCUUGCAGAGGCUGCGAGAGGUCUGUCCGUAGUGAUGUGAAUGGAGUGUUGAAGGAUCGAAUUAUCUAAAUGGGAAAAAGAGUUUAUGUUGGUCCGUCUGAUGGAGGGAUUAUAUAAUGUCUUUGGAGAAACUACUAUUAAUGAGGACCAAUUAUUUUGAGCAAUGGAUCAAUAAUUUCAUUGGAAAGUAGCGAGGCAUUGAAUUCGAUUCCUCAUCAUGUGCAGGAAGGCCCACUGUGAACAGUGAGCCGUCCUUCAUGUUGCCCUGUUCGACAAUGAAGAGUCGCUGAAGUCUAAAAAGCUUCGUGAUAUGAUUAGAUUCCUCCGUAAGCUGCUCGUCGCUUGCCUGCUACGGCUGACAACAAGUUUUGUUCCUCUCUGGUGGCAAGUGGUGUGUGUGUGCCAUCAAUAAUGGCGUUGGCCGCCCCCACCCUUCCUCUUCCUUUUGCUCGUGGAAGGUAGUGCCUCCUUUGUCACCGGUACGCUUUCGCCAAGAAAACCCCACCCCUUCGCUUCUGCCCUCUUCUAAUGGUUCCUCGCUUCAACGUGAGCGGACCAUUCCUAAGAGAAACAGACGACACCGAAGCAAUAAUAAUCUUUGAUUUUUGUGCUUUUCUUUAACCCAUCAAAUUUGAUGGUCAGCUCGUGUGUUAAGCUUAUAUGAGCUACGUUGGAUGAGUUUUCUUUAAUAUUUAAAUUACAAAAAUAUUUUAAAAUAAUAAAAUAUAUGUUCAUAGAUCAUUUAGUCUCACAUUGAUUGAGUAGUACGAGAAUCAUACCUUUUGGAGCUCAUAUGUUCCAAAAGAAUAAAAUCGUACGAGUAAACUCAUCGUCCAAAACGGAUAAUUUUCCGAUCAAAUUAUCCCUUAUCAAUAUAUUAUCUUAAGUUCUUAUUUUAUUGUGAACUAUAAAGUUGUUGAGAUUUUAAAAAUGAUGCCUAAGUUUGAUUAGUCUAAUAAUAUAUAAUAUCUUAAAACUUAAGUUUGUUAGAUUGUGGAUCAAACCUAUGUAUCCAUCUCGUUUGACUCAUUCAGAAGAUGAUAAUGUGAGAGACUAUCUUAGUCUCUUUCAAUCUUUGUCUCUCACGACUAUUCCAACCUACCUGUCUACCUACCAUCAAAAUAAUCAAAGAUUUUGGACUGUGCAUAACAGUUACUUGAUUCCAUGAAGGUGGCAUUUUAGUACUCAUACAACAGAGCAGCCAUCUGCACAUAAAAGCUACUGCCACCAGCCAUGGAACCCAGUGAGAUCACUGAAAGAGUAGGCCUUCUGUUUAGCAACCCACAACUCAACUUUGAUUGCCGAUGGCUUCCCACAGUUGCACUGCGCAUGCUACAGAAGGAUGUGGAUGGAUUGGUUGUGCCCAAUGUACUUGGUGUUUCACCAGACCACACAACUUCCCCCUGACCUGAUCAAAGUGUUUUACGGAGACACGCAGACACACAAAAGACCUGAUGAGGUUCUUAGCAGGCAAUGGGAUAAAUGCCAUAUGGAGGACUCGAAAGAAAUGCACGUAUAUGGCCUCCUGCAAGCACUGGCUCUGUUAAGCGGCGAAUUGAUCUGUUAACAACCUUUCUCGAUUAAAGGAGAGAUGGCGGAAAACAUACCAUCAUAAGCUAGUCACUCACAAACCUCAGGACACUGAUACAAAUGGUGGUUGGCUGGUCCAAGAAAAAGAGAAAGCGGGGAACAGAAUUCAGUGGGUCGGGUAAUAGUAUCCACCUGCAGUACCAUCAAAAGCUGAUGGCAUCCCGUAUGGCAUUGCGGGGUUGGGCACGAAGUUGCUGUUGGGCUUGUUAGCUAAGCCGGCCUGGCCCUGCAUCCCAUCCCCGGCAUACUGCUGCCACAUGACCUGCUCCUGUAGCAGCAGCUGCCGUUUCUUCUCCGCGUCUGCUAUCUGCACGAAGGGAGGCGGAGGGAUGCUAAGCGACGCCGCGAAUGGGUCCUGCCCAAUGGUCUUCACGGUGCCAUCAGGUGCAGGAAGGGCGAGCACGGGAGGGGCGCCGCCUCGUCCAGGCCCAGGCAAGGCCAUACUGCUCGCGCUCCCUCCACUUGCCUGGGCGUUUACGUGUUGCCUCACCGCCCCUUGAUCGUACAUGCCGUUCAGUAGCAAUGGAUGGAAGCCUCCGCCUAAUGUUGCCUUCUGCUUCGAGAGAUUGCUGGCUGUCUCCACGAGCAUCAUCUCCCAGUCUGCUUUCCCUCUUUCGGCUGCAGGGUUUUGCCACGCGGAGGUCACUCCUGUCUCGCCAUCGGAUGAUGGGAAUGCUUCCCAGGAACCAUCGGAGCCAUUAGCUGCCACCGGGGCCUGGAAAAGAGCCAGUUCGAGAUUGUCCACAGCGGCCGCGCUAUCAUCUCUUAGAUCCACCAGGUCGCCUUGCUGUUCGACAGGUUCCGCUGCGACCUUUGCUGGCUCCGGCGCCUCUUCCUCGUAAUCGGGAGGCGCUGGAAGAGCUUUUAUGCUGUUCAUGGUUUCUUCGGGUUCUUCGUCCCUGGUCUCCGUGGGCGCAGCAGGGAGGGCCACUCUAGGGGGGCUCCUCGUCCUCGUCGCUCUGUUCCUCGUGAACUCUUCCAGUAACUCCAGAAGCUUGUCGGUGAUGCGCUCCACCUCUGGGUACUCCGACGACCUGGCUACUCCUGUGUCCUUGGACCAGGCAUAGAAGACACAAAGUUCAUCGAUCAGCUUGGCGGCACGAGCAUAGGCCUCGAACGACUUGACGCAGUCAUGGUAGUCCAUGUCAAAGAAGCCGUCGAGAAGGAUGGCUAAUACAUCGGCUAUGUCAGCAUAUAGCUGGAAGCUCUCACUGAGGAGAGGAUAGAGCGCAACGAGGAUAAUCCUGCUGUGCUGUGCAUUGCCUCUGGGGCGGCAGCCGAGGAAGCUAUCGAGCACGUUCAGCAACUCGUGCAUCCUCCCCAGAACACUCUCUGGCUUCAUGCCCUUCAGCGGUGUCCGCCUUCCUCUGUACUCGCCAUUGCCAUUACCCGGAGAAGAUGAGUAUGAGGAGCUCACAUAAUUUCCGUAGGCAUAUGGAUCUGGCAGCGGAGAUCUCUGGUUACCACCGCCUCGCUUCGUUUCGUAACCCAUCCAUCCCAGGCGUCGAUCCAGAUAAAGAGCGUAGGUGCGGACGAACGUAGAAUGGUCCCAGGAAUUGGAGUGUGCCUCGUCGCAAAAAUGGGACAUGCAGAGGAGGCGGGCACCCCUGCGGUUGGCAUAGAGAAUCUCAUGUUGGAACGCAGGAUCCCCAUCAGUGAGAAGACGAUGGACGAGCAUGAGCGCCUUGAGGGCCACGACCCAGUCGCGCGUUUUGGCGAGCCUCCUCGAUACAGAAGCGACGCAGGCAAUGACGUAACUGCCGGAGUAGGAUGUCAUGUUGAGGAUCUCCCUCAGGUACUUCUCGUCGGCGGGUUCGUCGUCGUGACUCGUCGCCUUGACGAUGGCCACAUCGAGUUCAGGGGCCACGUUACUGGACAUCAUGGCCAGGCCAAUGCUGGUCUGGUCUUUCACUGCCCCCAGAGCCUUCCUGAUGCUGGGUGCCAUUGUAUGAUCUGCAAAUGCCAAUCUCGUUCAGUAUCAGAAACAGAAGGCCUAAUCUGACUCACAAAUCUGUCGAACAGAAGUGACAACAACUGGUAAGCAAUACAAGUUGAUGUUGCUAUCUAUGAUUCAUAACUAUUCAGACCAGUUGUAAUGUUGUCAUUGGAACAAGGAACUUCCCAUGUUAGAGAUAAAGUGACAUGCAGCAAUUCAUCAUCAUCAUUAUCCUCUACAAAAGAUAAACUACGGGUUGAAUUGAUACAAUUCAAUUCAUCAUCAUAAGAGAUGUAGAGGAAGACUUAAAAAUGACUUUGACUUUACAUAAGAAUUAUAAAUAAAAUUUUAUUCAUUGUAACCCAAAAAAAAUUGUAUAUAGUCAAUGCUGUAUGGUUGAAACAUCAUAGAUUAUUAUUGUAUAUCCUUAGGACUACGGUUUGAAUUGUGGUUUGACAUGGUUCAAAUGCAGUACCAUGUUUUUGAAGUAAUCAGCCCAUGUUUGACUAAAAAUGUGGUGCUUAUAACACCAUUAGCAUGACGAAUGUCAUAUGAACUACGGACAAUUUGUCGAACAGUUAGAAUUCGUCAAAAAGUCUAGUCAUCGCAUUAAUUUGGCAUUUUGAAGGAACGAAAAGAACAUAAAUUUCGUGGAUACGGCGCAUCUACUUUUAGAGAUACAACUGUGGACAUUCAAACUGUGAUGUGCUGAUAACAUAGCUUUGGAGUCCAUGCAAUUCGUCGAACACCUACAAUGCAUCUACAAGUUUAUCCUAAAUCAUGGCAUGCAUCAUCUCUUAUCACAAGUCAUUUGAUUCGAUUAAGAUAGAUAGUAAAAUAAAUCAGCAAGACUUGCGAUCAACAGCGAAUUGGACCAAGAUCGGAUUCGAAACCGAUGUUCUGCUCGAGUAUCUUCCUAGAAUCUGAUCUCAAUCUUUAUCUAGAAGAUGGCCGGUGGAAUCCAAACAAGGAGAUCUGGAUUUUAAAGCUUGCCAACUCGAUCUUUGAAAGAUGACGAUAAACCAAUCGAAUCAAAAGAAGAGAUGCAAGUCACCAAAUCGAAACAACUGACCGGAUCCUCCUCCGCCGGAGCUACUCGGACGCACCGAUCUGCCUCCGGUCCAGCACUCCUUAUAGGUCUCUCAGUCCUCGCCCUCGUUGUCUGCUGCUGACGAAGAAGAAGGAAAAGACUAAAGGAGAGGGCAAGAGAGAGAGGUUUCUCCUCUUUUCUCGCUUCCCUUCUUGUUGGAUUGGAAUCAAAGGGGAUGGGGGCGGAUCGGAACGAGAGAUUUCGGCCGAUAAAUAUCGGAAGGGAGAGAAAGAACGUUACGAGGAAGAGAGGGCCUUUUUUUAAUAUUAUUAUCGUUAUUACUUAACGCCCUUUAUAUAUAUAUUUAUUCUUACAAAUUUGGAAAUGACAUAAUUGCUUCUAUAUAUUUGAUAUGAUGUGAUCCCCAUAUAUCUUUUCCUUAAUAUCAUCAACCCACAUGGUAAUAAAAAUAUUAGGACGGUUCUCUUUUUUUUUUCGGAUGAUAUUUCUUUUUAUAAUUUCUAAACAGUAAUCUUAAUUUCUAAUAUUUCAAAAAUUAUAAAACUAUUUUUUUUUCUUGUCUAAAUCUUAAAAAAAAAAUCAUCAACUAUUUAUAAUUUUUAUAUUAGUUUUUAUCUAAAAUAUUGUGAUAGGUAAAAUAUCAUCGAUCAAUACAUGUGGCCUCUUCGUGUGAUGUCCCCAUGGAACUGUCCGCAUUGACAAUAGUCAAAGAUAAAUAUAACUACAUGUUAUGUGAUUUUAUUAUCGUUCAUGUGAAGCUAAGGCCAAUAGUAAUUGUCAUAGACGAUUGAGGAUUAUCUCAUCGUUGAAUAUUUCAUAAAAUAUUUAGUCCCUUUAUGAUUAUUUUAGCGUAAUAGUAAAAGAUUAUUUUUUUACAGCUUACAUUCACAUGCACUUACAUUGAGUUAUUAAUUUUGAUGUAAGUGGGAUCGUAUUGAAAAGCCUCUAGGUCUUCAUGCAAGUUACACUUUAUGAUGAAUUUAAUAUUCUUGGAUAAUUUUAUGCAUAUAGAUUUGGAUCAUAUUAGAUUAAUUGGAACAUCAAUGAUAUCUUCUCGUAAUAAAAUAAAGUGUAACUUUAAUAAAAAUUUAUUAGAUUUGAAUGAGAAAAUGCAUGAUGAUUUUCUAGGGAUAUUUUUAGAAUUUUUAAAAUAGGAGUGACUAUUUUAAAAUUAUGAAAAAUAGGCAUCAUUAGAAAAAAAAACCAAAAAAAAAAGAAAUUUUCUAGCAAUCACCCAAAAUAUUAUAAUGAGGAUAGAUUGAUUGAAAAAGAUAUAAAUAGCUAAAAUACUUUUAGUAUUAAUGUGAGUUGAUAUAAAUGUUAAUAUACAUUAGAACGGCACCCAUGUUGAAUGUGACUGUCUUAUAUAGAACAUAACAUUAUUUACAAUGUAAAGCCAAUCCAAACAAUUAAGAAUUUUAGAAUUUGCAGAUUUAUAUUAGUUAUUUAAAAAAAAUAAAAAAAAAAUAAUCCAUGCAAUCAAUCUCAAAUAAUUUAAACAUGUUAUUGUCAGCUUGAAAUAAUAAAAUAAAAGUUUCUUAUUUGUUUACGUUUUUUCUGCGUGAGUGACUGCUACACUUAUUUUUGUUUUGUGUGCUGAUGUCGAGAUAGAGAAUGCAUUCUUAGUUCUAAAGUUAUAUAUAUAUAUAUAUAUAUAUAUAUAUAUNNNNNNNNNNNNNNNNNNNNAUAUAUAUAUAUAUAUAUAUAUACUUUUUUGUGUUUUUUCUUUUUGUGGGAAUUCAAAUCCUUCCAUAUUCAAAAUUUUAAAUUAAAAAAAUAUGCUACCUAGAUUGAUUAGUAAAGACCUUAUUAAAUCAUUACAAACAAGUGGAACCAAAUAUCCAUCUUACCAUAAUUUUUUUAUAAAAAUAUUAAUCAUAAAUUUAAAUCAAAUUGCUUAAGACACGAUAUAUGGUUUCCAAAAUUAUGAACGAUACAUGAAAGUCGAUAUGACUCGGUCAUGCUAAUAGAUAUAUGUCACGUUAGUAUCAAUGGAAACCAAAAAAUAUUCUAUAAAUUAAAAAUGAUUGAGAGUAUUUUUCUAAUCGUAAGCAAUGAAUAGAAUAUUCUUUCCAUCAUGAUCUAUGUGUCUUUUUUUUUUUACUCUUUGUAUAUAUAAAAAGAUGUAUUCGACUAACUUUAACAUUAAAAGAAUCAAAUAGAGAACACAUUUGAUGCCGAUCAAUCCUUACAUAAUUCAAUUCUAAAAACCUGAUAUGGUCUCUUCAACCAAAAUAGAAUGAUAUAUCUAUUUUGAGCAAAAGCAUUUGAAGUAUCCAAUAUGACCUUCUUAGCUAAAAACAUAUUUAUGCACCCGAUGCAUUCAACUUGAGCAAAAGCAUAGUCACUUCAUUUGCCGAAUUAUUUUUAUGUAUUCAAUAAGCCACCGAUAUUAUUAGAAAGUUACAAAAUCGGCUCAAUAUUGGUAAAAACAACUAAAUAAGUGAGCUGACCGAUGAAACUUUAUGAAUUUGACAACCAUAGUAUAUUUGUUUUCCCUUUGUUUUAGAUACUUCUUCAAAUCCUUUUUAGAUACUCAAUUGACAGUGGCAACACUGGAUGAUGAGAUGAGGCUUUUCCCAACAAAGGUGAAAAACAAAAACAAAAAUGGAAUAGUUGACUCACACCAAAUUGUCAAAAAUGACAAACCUAAAUUGUCAUCCAUGGAAAAGUUGACCAUGGUUUUGACUUGUCUUCUAAAUUGUGCUCCUGUCUCCGGCUGCUUGUGUGCCUCCACCUUGAAACAUCUGAUCUUAACAUGGGAUGCUCUUUCUCAUCAACAAUAGCCACUGUAUGUGCUCCAAGAAUCCGUGAAGCAUAGGAAGUGUGUGGUGAGAACUUCAGAUGAAUCCAAGCAUCAGAAAUGUAACAAAGGAUAUGGAAACCGCUGCAAAGAGUUGAUGAUGAUUGCCAUCGGCGUGCAGUCGAUAUGGAAACUGCAGCAAGGUGGUGAAAUGAUGAGUCGUGGUCAUCUUCUUUCUCCAGAAUACAUGCAGUAGGAGUCCAUCAGUUGUGCGGAGGGGGUUGAGGAAGCAUCAGCGUGGCGAGGAAUGGCACCACGAGAACUGCUCCUGUAAUGGAAUCCCGAGUCUACAUCAUGACAUGCCUUUAGAUGAACUCUCGGGCGGAGGAACUGAUAUGAUCUUAACCGAACCAGUGCUACUAUGUUGGUCGUCGACGCAUUCAAACACCACAUGGCGAAUCAAUCGUCGAGUACUUCCUUUUCCUUUUUCCCCCGUCUUGAAUUCCCUGCAACUUUUGCUUUUCUGAGACCAGCCAGAUCUCGCAGCAGAUGCAACCACAGGUCGCUUUGGACGCAAAGGGAAUAGGCGAUGAACAGCGAGUAUGUGUGUGUGCAAUGGCAAAGCGUUUGCUCUCCGUCUGCUCCUGUCUUUUCCAUCUCCAGAGUGAUCAUGACUCCAUGGAAAUCCACUCGACCUUUAGACUCUCAACACCAAGUAUAUGAAUUGCAUCAUAGCAUUAUAAUAUGAAUCACAUGAGGUGCAUGAGAUAUGGAAAUUCUGAUUCCCACAACCGAUAGGGAAUACUACUAAUCGUCCCGAGCGCCUGAAUUGGAAGCAUCUGUGUCAGGGCUUGUGAAAACUAUAUUGUUGGUGUAGGCCAGUGGGGGAUGAUGCAAAUGAGGCCAACCAUGCAUCACUCCGGUAAACAAUGGAAAAGCUCACGCAUCCCAUCAGCUCCCACACCCUGUGCAAUCAAUCACACCGUGUGGGCUCCUUCCGAGCAACCCCAACAUUCCAAGAUUCCACCAUCAAAUCAAACAAUGACAACAGAGCUGUCCUAGGAGUCGAUUGAUAUCCACUUGUCUACCUCUUCUUCUCCUCUCCUUUCUUCACCUCAGCACACAAAAUCUAGAGUUCUGUAGCACUAAUUGGUACUGUCAUUCACGGAAAUCCUUGUCAUCUUCCUCUUGGAUUGGCCAUCAUAAAGUUGGCGGUGGGAAGAGUCAUUAAAGUUAAGCCGGAAGAGUGGUGUGUGUGGGUCUCUGUUUGAGGAGUAUUGCCUCUGCAUACCGUGCCUUGGCGUAAUCAGACUCAAAAGGUGUAUUCAUGGCGAAGGCUGUCUCUUUCAGCGUCAUUUUCUCAGUGUCCGGGUGCGGUUUAAGACGAAGCUGGGUUUAUUGACUCGAGAAUACUUGGAGGACUUCUCAUGGUGGCGGCCUCUUCGCCCUCCACCACCACCACCACUCGUAAAGCUAAAGCUGCCCUCUCGUCUUUGCUCUCCCUCUCUCUCUCUCUCUCUCUUUCUUACACACAUAUGUAUGCCAUUAGGAUUGCUGGCCAAACCAGACAAUUAAGGCUUGCACUGUUGACAUACAUUGUCAUGCACAGAAUUCCGAGCUCCCACACAGUGCACACCUCUACUGUGGAUUGCACUUCUCGUGCUUGCCCUUGUGGUGCUUUUGCGACCUUGGCUUUCUCCAUUCGCUCACACCAACACACUGUCUCUCUUAGGUUUCCACUUCUACCAUCUGACAACCAAAACCCAGGGAGGCUUCUCUCUUUUCUCUCUUUUCCUUUUAUUUGUACAUCGCCUCAGACUCCCUUUAUUCUCUUAAGGGCUACGAAGAGGAGGGGGAGACCGCCUUGGUCUUCGGGAAAGCGACGAGAACCCAGAUUCCCUGAGGCAUGCACCCCUUAAGCUAAAAGGACAUGGAUCUUUCGGCCAUUUCACCCUUACACCUUCCUUUACCUCGCAUUUCCUCCUCUCUCUCUCUCCCUCCUUCUCGUUUUCCAUCGUUUCAGUGCAUGACUGCGUGCUCUUCCACUCUUAUCGCUAACGAAUUCUUGGUGGGUUGCAUGGAUUUUAGUGAGAUCUUGGCUUCUUCAGCUUUGUUCUAUAGCACAAUCCUACAUACAUCAAUAUGUGUGACGCUGAGGAGUGCAAAAAAGGAGGAAGAGAGAGAGAGAGAGAGAGAGGAUAAAUAGUUGUGACGUGUUCGAGGAAGAACACAAAUCAAAUCCAACACCACACUGCGCAAAAUAAAGUUCAUGUCUCUCUGUCUCCCAUCUGCAUGCGUGCAGAUGUUCAUGGAUCCAUGUAUGAAUGAGAAUACACAUCAAUGCAUUGACAUACUCGAAACAUUAAUAUGAAAAAGAUAUAUAUAUAUAUAUCCAUCAUAAGAUCACACAUGUGAGAACCUAUCAUUUGCUGAUACAUAGCACUUAUGACCACUGAUUAAUCCAUUGAAAUGCAGAAGUUAAAUGGACAAAUUCCUUGUAUGGAACGAUUGAGGUUGUCAAGCUUACAGUGGAUGACAAUGCAUGGGAAGACAUGAAUGAAUACACAUGGAUUCCUGCAUGGAAUGUUGGUCAAAAGCUGUUCUACUUGGCUAUAUCUCAAAAGGUGAGAACUAAUGCUUCAUAAGAGCUUUAAUCUGAAUGGAAUCACACAGAAGUGCAGCAAAAGGCUUCAAUUGGAAACACUGCCACUUUAAGCGAUAUAAUAGAUCUAGAAGUUGAAGAAGAUGAGAGCUUCUCAAUGGAAUUUUCUUGGUUGUGGAGAUCGAUCAUCCAGGUGUUGAAGUUCAUGAACAAAAGCAUUGUCAUGAGUUUACAUGUAACUUCAUUUUCCAUAUCAUGGCAUCUCUGUGCCUAAAUGAAGUAUUAUCGUCCAUGCCAACUCAGGAUCGAAAAGCUUCAACACUUCAUGCAUUAAGAUUCUAUAAGCGGAGUGUAAGAUACAACAGCACAUUAAUUAGAGAACAUGAGGAACAACACCAAUCCAAAUAAUCUGAAACAAGAAACCUACCUACCAUUGCUAGAGCUUCUUUUACAGAGGUUUUGCUAACAGAUGCAUGCCAUCCACCAUAUCACAAGUUAAACCGGUUUUUAGUACUCACUCUACUGCUUCAUCUUCUUCCUCCUCCAGUAGGUCUUCUUGAAGCCAUUGCAAAAAAACUAAGCUUCCACGUUAUAGAACCAUCAGUGCAGAGGACAUCGCAUUAGAAUAUGUUGCUAGAUGAAGAGUUGAAUCCGGAGAGAUCUGUCAUCCAUCCUCCGGUGCUACUGCUGCUGCCUCCGCCGCUCCAGAAUUGGUCGUUGCGAGAAACACCAAGAUACGGUCUCGGAAAACCAAGCAGCUGUUGGCUGUCAUCCAUCUUCACCGAAGCCAGUUGGGUGAUGAGUCCGGAAUUGGUCGGUUUUGUUUGAGCUUGCCCUGUCGAUGAACCACCGAUGAACCCACCACCAUCACCGACGAAAGAGAAUAGCCCGGAAGCCGGUGUUGGUGCAGGUGCCGGCGGCUGUGGGAGGUCCAGUCCGCCUAUCAGAGAAAACUGCUGCAUUUGCUGAAGCCUCAGGUUCUCCAUCCCGACGCCGCCGCCUGGGGCGCUGCUGCCGCCGCCACCCAGCUGGUAGUCCAACGUAUCCACGGGUUGGAUGCCUGAGAAGCUCACACCAAAGUUGGUCGCUGCGAAGUCGGGAAGCGGGUGCAACGAGGCCAUGAACGGCAGCUGCGAAGCGAGCAGCGUGGUGGAUGCGAUUGCACCACCUACGCCCGACGACGUGGCCGUGGAAGACGAGGAGGAGGCACCGGUCUGGGUGGUGGUAUUCGAGGACUUCGAGGAGCUACCGCCGGCGGUGGACUUGGUCCUCUUGUUGCGCCGGCAACCGCCGCCGACGGGGACGUUUCGGAGGGCCCCCCCUCGCGUCCAGUAACGCCGGCAUGUCUUGCAGAAAUGGCGCGGUUGCGACAAGGAGUAGUUGUUGAAGUAGCAGAACUUGGUGUUUGUGGAGUCGCAACGCGGGCACUUGAGCCCGGGCUCCGGCUGCGGUAUCUUUGCCAGCCGAGCUCGGUCCGCCAUCGACCCGGGCCUCAUCAGGCCAGCCAUACCACCGUCAGGGCGCGGCGCUGCCAAUCCUGGUGGAAGCUGGGAAGCCUCACCGCCACCGCGGCCGCUGUUUCCCUGCUGGUGAGCCUGUUGCUGCGGCAACGAACAAGCAGAAAACAGAAAGAAAGGGAUAAAGCACCAAAUCGGAGCCACCGGUGUAUUCAAGCAGAGAUUUCGAAGCAAAAGGAUGAGGAUUUUUGGGCUCUUUCGUUAUACCUUUUGGACAUGGAAGGCGUCGGAGGAAAAGAUGAGACAAGGAAGAAGAGAGCUCACCUGGUUCCAAUUAGGUGGAUCAAGAAACACAGGAACUGAUGGGAAAACCAUGGUUGCACUCCGUUCCUCCACCACACCUUCUUCCUUGGCGAUCUAUUUCUCUUUUGUCAAAAGGUUGAUGGGGUUAAGAAGUGGUGGAGGGAGUUGCAGAGAGCACAAAGGAGGAAGGGAAGGGAAGAGAGAUAGAGAAAAGGAGAGAGAAAGGAAAAGGAAGGGUCUUAUUUCUCUCCUGAGUGGCUUAUAUAUUAUAAUUGUCAUGGUUGUGUCUGGUUGGUAGAGAGAGAUUCUUAGCCUUUAAGCUUUUAGGGUGAUGGCAUAUGCAGGAAGGGAGAAGGAGGGAAGUGGUGGCCGCUUCAUGCAUGACAAAGGUGAGGUAGAAAUGAGAUGGGAGGGCUACAUCCUCACUGUAAAAGAAUAUAAUGGAGAGACAGAUGGCUAUUCUACAUGUUCUAAAGAGAGAAAAAGGUAGGAGGGGAGGGGGAGGGGGAGGGGAUUAAAGCUUGUUCUGUCCCUGGUAGUAGUAUCUGUAGGCAGAAGAUAAAUGAAGAUGCAGGAGUCUUAAAGCUUGACAUGUAUAUGUGUGUGUGUCUCCACAUGUCAUGUGGGUGUCAACAGCACCACAGUGUAGAUGAUUGACAUGUAGUCGAUGAUGUGUUCCAUUUAUUCCACCGGACAUGAUGGAUUGCUUGAGUGAUGAGCACUUCAACCUUCUCCGUCUGUCUCAUUAAAGUGGAUGGUAGAGUUUCUUGUGGAAGCUUUUAGGGUUAUCUUCCACUUCCACUUUGCACAUUCUAUUCAUCCUCUUGCUCGUGCUAUGAUCGAUCCUUUUUGUUGGUUCCAAUUGUAUAAGCUCAUAAAGAGAAAGUGAUUAAAUGACAUGGAGAAGCAUAAGAGACGUAGAUUCGUAACUCAUUUUGUAACAUCUUACGAUAAAUAUCUUACGAUAAUUUUUUUUCUAAUUUUUUUUAUUUUUAACACAUAAAUAAGUGAUUUUGGUAUAUCGAACUCACUUAAUAUGCCUUCACGACUUAUCUUUUGCAUUCAACUUAUCAUCUUAUAAUCAUAUUUUGAUAAAAAUAUUUUUUUAUCAAAUUUGAUUAAUUUUUUUCUAACGAAUUAACAUUAUACUAUUGUCUAUAAAUUUAUAAGUUUCUCUGGAUAAGUGAAUAAGAAUUAUAAGAACCAAAAUAAACCAAAUAAGAAGAAAAAUAUGACCAUUUGAUGUUUUCUUUCCUUUUGUUUGGUUUUAUUAUAAUUAUAAUGGGUUAGUGAAAUCAUAAGAGUUGGGGAUCUUUGGCUUCUAUUGUGUGCAUGUAAUGGACCUUCUAAGAUUCAUACAUCCCAUGAUGUGAUCGUAUGUACCACAUGCAGUUGAUUGAUCCUCCACCCACAAUGCAUGCCUUAUCCGUAGUGAUACCCAAUUAUGUGAUCAUACUAAAGAAUUGGGUGAUGUUUCAUUGGUUGGGUUUCUUAUUGCACCAAAAUUAUAAUCAUUGGGUAGAUGUAAAAAACAAUUAUUGUUCUUUUGUAUUAGUGACGAUAAUUAUUUCAUUCUCAAUUUCAUUUUUAUCGGACAAAUUAUCCUACGUUACCAAUCUGUACAAAUUGGAAAGACGUGUGGGACGACUCCGCCCAACGGUGGGCCCCACGCCGCAAUUAUGGGCCGGGCCCACGUUAUGAUCCAACCAAGUGAUGGCGCCGCGUCCCCGCGGGGCCCGUGCGGGGGUACGUACGUGCUGCGGAAGUAGUGGGUCGGCGGAUGGGGUCCACCAAACGGAGGGCCAUAAGAUGCACUGGAAAGCACCCCCGACUCCUACGGGCUGACCCGCACGUGUCAGGAUCUUACGGUGAUGAUGAGGUACAUGUAGACUGUGCACCAAGCAAUCUCAUCCGUCGGACUCUAUUUUCGUGUACCGGUGGAUUUUAAACCUAAUUCAAAAUCUAUUUGGAGUUUAUUAUUAUUUCAGAAAUUAUCGUGAUAUAUAUUUAAGCAAACUAAAAUAUUAGAUAGAAUCUUUGAGUGAUUUAUCUAAAAAAAACUAUUUUUUCUUUCUUUCCCAAAUAAUAUCUUUAAUUUUUGUCGAAAAUAUCGUAUCUUUAGCCUAUCGUCACCAUCCUCCUUCCCCACCCAUUGUCUUUGUCUCUUCUUUGAUGCUCCUAUCUCAAAUGUAACGUCUCCAUUGUGUUGCCUCAUUUUACACCCAUCACCUAUCAUUAUGCUCGCUUAUCAAAUCCUAUAUAUUGUUUUCGUCAUCUCUGUAUUUCUUUAUUUUUUUCUCAUCAAUUAUAUAUGCUGCCUUCGCCUUUAUUCUUCUUUAUGGGACAAAGCCGAUUGAAGUGAUAAGUGAAGAAGAUAGUCAACACUAACGAUAUGAAGAUGACAAUGAGAAAAUAUUUUUUUUAUAAUUAUAGAAAUUAGAGAUAUUAUCUUAAAAAAAUAUAUGCUAUAUGAUAAAAAAAACAAAAAAGAGAGUUUUUUUUUUAAUGAAAAUCAUCCUUAUAUUUUAUUAUUUUCAUAUAAUAAAAAACCAUACAAAUCUUUGGUGGAUUAUGUUAAUUGUUUUAUAAUUUAAAUUCAAUUUUGUAUUUUUUUUUUCAUAUAAUUUGAAACCCAAAUCCAUCUUAUUUAGGCUUCAACGGGCGGGAAUGCAGCUAACGCUAGUAGCGACAUCGUUCAUCCGCUUACCAGACGAAACAACAUAUUACAGUGGACGCGAUCGGGAAGAGCGAGUCGACGCAUCAUCUCCUCUGCUUCUCCGACAUAUGACCCAGAGAAACCUUAGACCACAGAUCUCCGGAGCAGAGCUGUGAUGGCGGGAUUCCUUUCCAAGCUGAGACGGAUCCACCACUCGGUCUACACUGGACCCUCUUGCUCGGAUGGUAAUCUCGAUCUCUCGCCUUCAUCCUUGUCAAAUUUCUCAUUGAAUGAAUUGGUGUCUCAAAGAUUAUAUAAAAAGAGUCGCUUUCUUCUUCGUUUUUUUCGUUAGAGGUUUGGGGAGAACCUGGUGUCAGCGACCAUUACCAUAGCUUGGAUCAAGAUUAUGUGUUACUUGGGCGUUUUUAUGAGGUAAUUGAUUGAAUUCGAUUUGAAUCUUUGAUUUCCUAUGAAGCACCGGCGAGAAGGCUUUUCUUUUAGGGGAAGAACUUCACUUUUCCCCCUUCUUGAGAGACACGGACUCAUGUUCUUGUAAUUGGUAAAAUGGAUUUGGUUAUCGGUACUCAUAAAGACCGAUUGUUGUUAGUAUUAUUACUGAGAUAGGAUAAAUGCCAGAAGAGCUUCUUCCCAUGCUUAUUCCUCUUGGCUCUUGACACAUGGUAAAAUGCUUAUUUCUCUUGCCUUAUGCACUACAUUGUCCAUGCCUUAUAUUGAGUUAGGUAAUUAUUCUCUGGUUUCUUGUAAUUAAGAACAAACAUGGUACACUGGAAUCUUGGAAGAGACAAAGGGCUAGAUGGAUUAAACAAGCUGAUUUUGUCCCAAAUAGAAAUAAACAUAAAUCUCAAGUACACAGCGAGAGGAUUUCUGCUCUCUGUGUGAUCCCUAUGCUAUAAUAUGCGUUCUAGGCCAUAAAUCUCAUGUGGGUUAGUGCUUUUCAUCAAAUUUUGGUAUUGGAUUUUAUUGUUGAUCCUGCAGCUUGUUCUAAGGUGAUUGUUUUGUGAUCUUCAAAUCAAAUACAUUCCAUAGGGGACUUCGGAUAUUCAUGCAUACAAAAACCACAUGAUUUUAUCACGUUGUACCAUGGACAAAAAUUUUAGAUUGACUCCACUGCUCAUUGGAAAUAGUUGUUUAUGUAUGAUUGUCCCCCAACUUUCACCUUAAGAAACUGAUGGAUUUGUUUUCCUUUUUACCAAUUUUCUACAAUUAUUGUCAUGAGACACGAAUACUCAGAGUCUGUUGGAUAGGUAUGCUUGGCCAACCAAUAUCGAGGUCAAGUUACGUGAGUGAGUAGGAGUAGGCGCUCAUGUUAUUUUCUGCAUUCAAUUUUUGUUGUAGAUAUUUGAGGGUGCAGUAAGUGUCAAAAUUUUAUGAAGAUGAGAAAAGUGAUGGAAUGAUUGAAAGCAUUUGGGAUGAGAAAUUCAAAAUUUGAACUGAUGGAACACACACCAUGUGGAAGAGUUUUCCAAUAUCAUGAUUAUCAACUUUUUCGGAUAUGUAAAUUCAUUUUACUUUUGAGGUUGCUAUUGCUGUGUAACCGAAUUCCAAAAUUUGAUUAUAUUUUCUAACAUAUUGAUUUUCUUUAGACAUGAUACAGAAACAAUAUGCUGCUACUUUAGUUCAGUCAUAUUUAUCACGCUUAGCACAAUGCAAAUUCUACUUCACUUGACUGGCACUACGUUGUUCUUAAGCAUAUCAAUAACACUAGUUUUCUUGAGCGUAAGUAUUAGAUUGUUCCGUUCAGUCUACUAUAGCCACUGAACUAAACAUUUUAUCCUGUACCAUUCUCUUUACAGAUCAUUAGGUGUUCUUUCUUCUGUAAGCAAGAGGCACUUGGCUUUGCACCUUUCGGUUAUUAUGGUUUAGGUAUGAAGUUUCCAGUUAGAUAUGAUGUGUCAAUCCCUGCCCCUGCUACACUUACAUGAUCUAUUUAUUUGUUAUUUACAAUGUCCAGGUACAGCACCUUUCAGUUACUGUGCCCUAUUGGCAUCACAAGUGAGGUUGCCGAAUGCAUUGCCUCACAUCAAGGUACUCAAAACAUGGGAAUCAAUUUACCUGUUUCAAGUAUGUUUGUAUCUUAUGUCAAUUUUAAAUGUUUUCUACCUUUGAAAUCAAUACUUAUUGUGUCACAUCAAGAUACUUAAAACAUGGGAAUGAACAUAACUUUAUAAGUCCUUUUAAACCUUUAGAAUCAAUAUUCCUUGGUCAUUUUUUGUACAUGAUCAAAGUUUGAGAAGUUAUUGUAUUAGGAUACCCAACACAUGGGUGCUGCUUGGUUUAAAGUAAAAGCUGAUUACCUGUAAUGCCAAAUUUCUGUACGGUUUAUCCUAAAGCUAGACACAUAAAAUAAUAUUGAUAGAUCAGUAGUUCUCUGGCAACUGACGUAUACAGUGGAACUCCCAGAACCAAGUUUUAGUUUUUCUUGCCUUGUUGAUUUUAUAUGCGUGGAAAAAAGAUAAGAAUCUUCUAGAUAAGAAUGGAAUUCAUAAUAGGGGGCCUACUCUUGUGUUAAAUAGGACUCUGUUGAUUACCCUUUAGUGUCACACCGACCUCUACUCUCCUUGAUUCUCACUUUAGUGGUUGUUAUCAAUCUUCCUGUUGGUCUGUUCCUCAUAGCUUGUUUGCAUUAGAAAAAGGUUAAUUAUGUUAUGUUAUACUAUAUGUAAAUAUGACACAAACACACACACAUGGAAAAUCACAGACUUUAAUGCUUUCAAAUAGUAUAUCCAAUUGUGUGUCAUCAGAAGUAAGAAAAAAUUGAAACAGAGAAGUUCUAGUAAAUGAGGUCAAUGUUGUAAACUUUGCAAAUAGCUAUACGGGGAAAACUUUGUUUCAAAAGCUUCUUAUCACUCCCAUUUUUUGCUGGAAGAGAGUGCUCUGACAUUAAACAAUAUCCACAAGACAAUGACUUUAUUUCACUAGAUAUGUGAGUGUUCACGUGACAGUGUAACUUCUGUCACUAGUGCAAUACUGAUGAGGCUUUUUCUAUUUCUUCUUCUUGGGACAUCUGGAGGUUUGAGAAUGAUCAUCAGGGUUACAAUUUUAACCAAUUUCUGUACAUGUUAAAUGGUUUUUUGCUUUGUGGCUAGUGCAGGUAUUGCCAUUUGACUAGCUUCAGUAACACAAGGUUUCCACUCUUAUUUUUGCUGAAGAAUUGCUGCAUUACUUCUGCUUGCCUUGCGUAAUUCUGAAACUCCCUUCUUUUUCCCCCCAGAAUAUAGUACAUUCCCGUGCCAUAUUUAAAAGUUUGGCAUAAUUUUAGACUGAAAUUUUGGCUAGUAACAGACAGGAAAGAAGUACUGCUUGGUGUUCAUCUGAUAGGAUUCUUGCUGCUUCCAGUUGUGUGCUAUCCAAGGGAAGUAAAGCUGAUUGGAAGAUAAGGAUUUGUCGGUUCACUGGCUCAAUCUCAUCACUGAGGACUGAGACAAAGUUGGUGGUGGCCAAGCAUUUCUGUGGGCACUCUGUGUGUGGAGCUCCCACCCCCAUGCUCCGCACCUUCCUGGUAAUAGAGAUGCGAGGUCAUGGUCAUCAUACGUCUGGACUCUUGCAAGCCACAUACAAAAGCAAGAUAGUUAUGUGGGGGAGCUCCACAUUCACAGUCGAAACUAAUCAUGCACGGGCCCAGAAAAGUAUCUGCAGAGACGUAUUUGAUUCUUCCUCUUCUGUUUGGUUUGCGACCUGCUCUGCUCAUCAGGAUCAGUAGAUAACUGUACAUGGGUGUCAGACGGCAUAUGCACUCGGAAUAUUCAUCUUCAUUAGCAUAUAGAUAUGAGUCAGUAUCUCGAUUACUUUUUAGUGGUAUAAUUCAAUGGUUGCAACGUUCUCAUCCACAUAUUUAUUUGGCUCUACGUUUCAGAUGCCCAGGACAUGAAACACAGACGCUGCAUGUAAAUAAUGGAAGAAGUCUGCAUCCAAAUGUGCAACAACAGAGGGCAAAAAGGCAAGUGGUCCAGCAAGAAGCUUGUCAAGACUUCAAGUUCAACUUGUCUUUCCCUUCUGUAUGCUUCAGCUGGUGGUAUCUCAACUUUAUGUUCUCCAAACCAACUCGGUGAGAUACCAAUAUGAUCCAUCAUAAGACUUAUCUAAUAAUAAACAUCUUAAUGAUUAUAUUGACUUCCUCGUAACCAUAAGCAAUGUCAUCCGUCAAUUCAUAGCAUUACAAAGUGCACCAGACUAUAAAGGAAAAGGACUCUGUUUCUGUUCCCUUCCAUGUGUUGCCUGGUGCCUGCCCAUAGUUUAGAAUCCUUGGAUCUAAUAUGGAGAUACAGUCCAAAUGAGAUGAUGUGGAACAAGUGGUCGUAGCCUUUCUUUUUUACCACUCUAAGUCAGUAGUCUCCUUUUAAACAAUGACUUAAGGAUAGGCUUUUAGUUUCUUCCCUUCUGGGGAUAUUGAUAUUCUUACAUUGCACCUUUAUUCAUGGUCAUUUUCUUGAAUGCUGUGACUAUUGACUUGUUUGGGGAUGAAUUGCAUCCAUGGAUCUCACUGUGAGGAGUUGUUGGCUCUGCUUUUGAACUGUCAAAGCUGAUAUCCAACAUGGAGAGUGCAAUAGAUAUAGGUCUACUGGCUCUGAAUAGCCUACAGAUUCUAGACCGGGUAUCAAUUAUUGAAAAGUGCACCAAUGAUUCAUGAAGCUUUUUCGGGGGUGGAUAAUAAUUUCAACUACUCAACAGUGAUUGAUUGAUCACACCAUCAUCAGUAAGCUUUUUUGCAAUCUUUCACUGAAGGGUCUCUACAGACUUUUUUUUUUUUCACUAGUGUUGUAGUUCCCAGCAUGUUCAAUUUCCUGGGAAUACCAGAUGACUUUUGAUUCCUGUUUUCUGAAUUAUUCUUGUGUCUCUGAAACUCUGUGGAGAUCUUAUGAAUUCAUCACUUCUUAAACCUGUCCAAAUUAGCUAUGCUACUGAUGGUCUUUUAUACAUGCUGUUACAUGAAGAACAUUCAACUCUGUUGAUUUCUAGUUCUCAUAAACUUGAUGCUCACAGAAUUAUGAUUAUGUCAUAAAAUUUUAGCAUUAUAGUGAAUAUGUUAAUCAUAGAUUUCUCAUUUAAGGUGCUGAGCCUUUGCUUCAACUUUGAACUUGCAGAUUUUGUUGGAUUAAAAGUAAGCUGAUGUGUGCCCUUACAACUAUUGCUUGCACUAGUUAUCAAACUGCUUGUUGCAUCCAAAAAUAUUCUUUGGUAGGUACAGAAGCACAACUUUGAGACACCAAAGGUUGCUUACUGCAUGCAGCUUAUCUACUUGGCAGUUUUCAGCUUAUAUAAGCAGCUGGAGAAGUUGGAAUAACACUACAGGCAUCUUAAUAUUCUACUCUUGUCUUAGACUGAGAGGACUGGUUCUCUAUUCUAUUCGGAAAUAUCUUAUAAUUUCUAUCAAUAAUGUUUAAAUACCAAGGAUUUUAUUUUAUUAUAUUUUCAUUUUGUGAAUCUCCCUUGGUAUUGUGUUGUGUUAAAUCAUUUAUUUUCUUUUAUGUAUGACUAAAAACCGUGUGAGUCGAUACGAGUAUUCAAAUACAUAAAAUAUUUUUUUUUUCAGUAUCAAAUUAAUCCUAAUUUAAUCAUCAGAGAAAAUUCACUAAGCAAACAUUCUACGAUUAUGGAUCAUUUGCAUCGUUAAAAAAUUACAUAAAAAAUUUUCAUCAUAAUUUGUGUCAUGAAAAUAUGACAUUCAACAUUAUUCUCUCAUGGGAUCAUUCACAUUGCAUCGAAAAUUUUCAUUCUAAUUCAUACCGAAAAAAAUGAGAAUCCUUAUCCGACACUAGUUUUACAAGAUCAUUCGCAUGAAAAGAAAAAAAAAAUCUGAAUUCAUGGACUGAUCAUCAAAAUUUGAUACUUGCAGGAUUUGAGUAGUAUAUGUUUUUUGUUGGGGGUGUUUAAGAGUUAAGACCUCAACGCUCAUAUCCAUCCUGCUCUACACUCCACCAGCAUGAGUCCCUACCAGCGUAUGAAAGCGUCCUAUCUAUUGCUCACAUGCCGAGAGAUAGGCACAUUAGACCCAUCUCUUUUUGACCAACACCUCUAUAAUUGAAGAGAAGGCCACGCAACCGACCCAAGCCGGCGUCGCAGUGACACACAGACUCUCUCUCUCUCUCCCUCCCCCUUUGCAGAUAAACCAAACAACGAGCGGAAGCAACAAUAAUAACUCCCCCCCUCUGAUUUGUGCAGCACGCCCCUCAGAUGGAGGCGGCGAGCGCAAAGGAAGCUUCAAGAGGCAUCCUCCACCACCCUUCGCCGCCGCCUCCCUCGAUCUUCCGAAGGUAAUCUUCUGCGACUGAUCACUCUAACUGAGGCGCGCUAGGGUUAGGGUUUGGGCCAGGCCUCCUCUCGAUCGGUGGCUGGGAGAGGAUGGGGUCGGAUCUGAUCCUACUUAGUCGGCUAUUCCCUCCCGUAUUUGGAGGGUUCCGGGGGGUUUAUUAGCGGCGGAUCCCGGAAGUUGUCGACUUUCUUUGUCUUUUGUUCCUGUUCGAUUCCUCUUUCCUUGUUCUAGGGUUCGCUCUUUUGAUCGUGAGUGAUAGUGGAUGAUAGAAAGGGUCUUCCUUUUUGUUUUUUCGAAAGGGAGAAAUUUGUUAUAGUUUUUUGUUUUUAAUUGGUGGUGGGAUUUAUAGGAUGGAAUUGUGAGGAUUUCAUGUGGUUGUGGAUCUCGAAUCUUGAUAGAUAGAUAGGAGCCGAAGAGGAGAGAAGAGGUGAUCGAGGGAAGAAGAGACGGAGAGGGGCGAGCGAGAGCACGCCAUGGGGGAGUCCCUUCUUACUGCUCUCUCCAUGGACCAUCACCACCACCACCACCACCACCCCUCGACCCUUCUGUCCAUGGACCCCAGCGGCGUUUCUCAGCCGUCACUCGCUGCAGCUUCCGCCCAUGACGACUACGACCAUGAGCUUCUGGGCCAGCAGCGCCCGCAGAUCACCCUCUCCGGCCCUCCUGACAUCAAUCUUCCACUCGCCGGUGACCGCUCCCCUCCCCAACAGUCGUGGAACCCUGUCUCCUGCGACAUGUUGGAUGUCCGCCUCGGAACCCAGGUGUAUGACGCUGACACCGCGCUCAACCUCCCCAAGGUUGGGAUCAUUCCUGCUGGGGGGCGCAAGUGCGCCAAGCGAGGGGAUAGCAUUUGGGGUGCAUGGUUCUUCUUCAAUUUCUAUUUCAAGCCUGUGCUCUCUGAGAAGUUCAAGGGCAAGAUCAUCCAUGAUGCAAAUGGCUUCUCGGGUUUCGAUAAGUCCGACCUGUGUCCUGAUGUGUUCCUUGUUCAGCAUGACAUGGAGAAUAUGUACAUGUGGGUGUUCAAGGAGCGACCGGAGAAUGCACUUGGAAAGAUGCAGCUGCGGAGCUACAUGAACGGGCACUCGCGUCUUGGGGAGCCUCAGUUCCCAUUCAGCGUCGACAAGGGCUUUGCAAGGUCACAUCGGAUGCAGCGCAAGCAGUAUAGGGGGCUGUCAAAUCCACAGUGUGUCCAUGGAAUUGAGGUCGUGUGGUCACCAAACCUUUCUAUGGUUUCCGAGGCGGAUUGCAAGAAGUGGGUGGAUCUUCUUGGGAGGGACCUGAAUUUCUCGAUUCCACCAGAGGCUAGUGAUUUUGGGUCAUGGAGAAAUCUUCCGAGCACUGAUUUUGAGCUCGAAAGGCCACCACCUCCUUUAAAGAAUAUUUCUCACCUUAAUUCGAGGAAAUUGCUUAAUGGCACAGGCCUUAAUCUGUCAACACAACCAUCUCAUGCAGGUGGAGAUUGUAUGGACCUUUCACCAAAAUGCAGCAAACGCAGGAAGGAUUUUUUCCCCCACGGGACAGAUGAGGACUGCUGCUUGAGUAACAACUCAUACUGCCAAGAUAUGGAAAUUCGCCCUUCUGAACCGUCAUGGGUAAAUGAGUUUACGGGUGUUAUGAGGCAUGCGUGUGGACCGGUGACUGCUGCGAAGACAAUAUAUGAGGAUGAAGAAGGGUAUUUGAUCAUGGUUAGCUUGCCUUUCUCUGACCAGCAGAAGGUGAAAGUCUCUUGGAAAAACAAUCUUACUCAUGGAAUAGUAAAGAUAUCAUGUGUCAGUACUGCUCGGAUGCCUUACAUAAAAAGGCAUGAUAGAACCUUCAAGCUGACAGAUCCUUCCCCGGAGCAUUGUCCUCCAGGGGAAUUUGUGAGGGAAAUACCUCUUGCUACACGAAUUCCUGAAGAUGCCAAUCUGGAAGCAUACUACGAUGAGACGGGAACUGUUUUGGAGAUUAUGAUCCCUAAACAUCGAGUUGGAUCUGAGGAACAUGAAGUUCAUGUGUGCAUGCGCCCUCCUCAUCUUGGAUCCAAUGAACUUCUGUUAUCUUGAAUACGGUAAUGUGGUGUGUAGUUGUGGCUAUGGUCAGUUUCAUUGUCUACUAACACGUUUAUGAUAAGAGGAACCGAUGCAUUAAAAGUUUAUCCUUAGCAUGCAUGCGGCCUUCUGCAACUGGCUUUUGCUGAUUGACUUGGUGCUGUCUUUUGUUUGUUUGGAAAAUAAACUGGGAUGAGACUGGAGCUGCAGGCAUACAGUAUAUAAGAAAAGUGGUAUCAUCUAAUUAUAACUUUGUGGACUUCUCACGUCUGGACUGGGGAAUUAAGACAGAUUAUGAAUUCUUCUGUUUCACUUUGCCCCUUACCUGAUUAUUUUGUGGGUAAAGCUCUGCUUUUGGGGCUCAUCAAUGUGUUUACAUCCAAGUCACACUAGUCUCCACAGAACAUGUUGAGUCAAAAACUGUAUAGUUAUUUGUAUUCGGUACUUUAAGGUGGUAGUAUUAUGAUGUUGAUUCAUAAAGGAACUAUCUUUUGUAUUUUCUAAUUCUGAAACUGUCAAUAGUUUGGUAUCAUUUAACAGAAACUUUUCUAAGUGAAACCACUGAAUAUCACUUCAGUAUGUUGCUUGUUUCCUUCUUGCGGUGUUCAUAAGUUUGCCGUCGUCGUAUUAACCUUGGUACAUCGACAUAGGUUUAUGAUUUGCAAAAAGAUGCAAUUACUGUUAAUCAGAUCUGAGAACUCUACAACACUUGCUAGCUGGAGUUUUUCUGUCAUUAUGAUAUAUGAUGUUCAGUUGCUAGAAGUAUGCCAAACCGGUGCCUGUAAUUUGUGUGCCUUUAUCCUGUACAAGUGUACCAAACCAGUGCCUGUAAUUUGUAUGCUUCUUUUUUUUUGGGGGUAAUCUUCCUGACUAUUGUUUGGUCACUUGAGAUUUCUUUAUAGUUUAAUGUUUUUGUUAGAAUUGCUUGUAGUAAUGACAUGACUUGUAGAGACAUUUCAUUGUCAAAUGUGAGGUUACAAGGAAACAUUUGCAUUCAGAUCUUACCUAUACUUUGUAUUCCUUAUUAACAAACGAAGGAUCAAACAAGUGCAGAGCUUUGUUUUUUUGUGUUUGGAAUUGAGAUAACUUGUCGAUAUUUGGGACCCAACAGAUGAGUAUCACCACCAUGUUUAGUAGGGUCUAUUUUCUAACUGUGUAUUAUACAAGAAAGCUUCCUUUUAAAUAUGAUUUGGUAUUUAUAGUGUGGAAAUUAGGAAUGAAUAUAAUGUGCCAACUCUCAAAGAAUUGCUAAUAUUGCCUUUAGUUAAUACAUUGAUUUGUUACAUGUGAAAUGCAGAUACAUUUAACAUCAAAAGUAGAAUGAUGAAUGUGCUGGUUUAAUGGUAUGGAGGAUAUCAUGGUGGAGCCUGACUUUUCUGCUUCCAAGCAGAAUCAAUGAAAUUUAGAAAGUAAUCGGCAAGAUGGAUCACUUUCUUCAUUUGCCUAGGUAUGUGAUCUUUUAUGGUACAAGCUUUUAGUGUCUGGUUAUUGGAAAUCCUUUAUAUUGAUUUAAGAUCAAUGUAGUUGUGCUAAUAAAGGUAGAAACCAUAAUCUUUAUUUCUUUUAUGAGUUUGCCUUGGAAGCAAACUCAUGAUGCUAUCAUGAUGAAAAUUGAUGAGAAAAAGAGGGAGAAUGGUUACUAAAUUCUUAAUUAUGAUAGACCACAUAGCAACUGAAUGUGGCUCUGCAGGUGAGCAGAUACAAGUUUCUUAAGUGCAUUGGGAUGGCUUGCAGUAUUAUGAUCUGAGUUUGCUGGUCACAGGCAAAGACUUGUGUGGUCUCAUUUUGGUGACGCAGUCUGAGAUAAGAUGGCCACCGAAGCUUAAAGAUGGUACACAAGCAAGAAGGUUUGAUGACAUUUGUACUACUGUAUGUAGGUUGUUUGCCAUGUCCGGCUCUCAUCCUAUUUCUCAUGCUUUGCCGUUCCCUGUCUGCCGUCGUGGCGCUGUUGUUUGUUUGCUUUCGAUUACAAGAUCCGUGCUAACCACAGCGAUGAUCGUCUCUCCCGCUGGGACUGAGAUUUCGAGAAGACGAGUGCUUCAAGAUUCGUGAAAGAAAUCAUACGCCAAGCGUUUGUGAUGAAUUCUGUUAGGACGUUUAAUCAAUACCCUCAAACAGUUAAUCCUUUUUGAGAUUUUGAGAAGAACGCUUCAAGAUUCGUGAAAGAAAUCAUACGGAGCCUUUGUGAUUAACAAGUAAUAAUUUCUUUUUCCCAAAGGAUAGGUAGUGAAAAUUUACUUUCUUUUUUCAUGAAUUUUCUCAUCAAUCGUUGAUAUUUUUCAUGAAUAUAUAUAUAUAUAUAUAUAUAUAUAUAUAUAUAUAUAUAUAUAUAUAUAUAUAUAUAGAGAGAGAGAGAGAGAGAGAGAGAGAGAGAGAGAGAGAGAGAGAGAGNNNNNNNNNNNNNNNNNNNNNNNNNNNNNNNNNNNNNNNNNNNNNNNNNNNNNNNNNNNNNNNNNNNNNNNNNNNNNNNNNNNNNNNNNNNNNNNNNNNNNNNNNNNNNNNNNNNNNNNNNNNNNNNNNNNNNNNNNNNNNNNNNNNNNNNNNNNNNNNNNNNNNNNNNNNNNNNNNNNNNNNNNNNNNNNNNNNNNNNNNNNNNNNNNNNNNNNNNNNNNNNNNNNNNNNNNNNNNNNNNNNNNNNNNNNNNNNNNNNNNNNNNNNNAGAGAGAGAGAGAGAGGUUGGCAUUUAGAUGCAACAACCCUUCCAACUCAGAUACUAAUAGAAGUAAGUGUAUGACCAUGGAUCAACCAUGUAUAUAAUCAAUUUAUCGUAAGGAUUUGGUCUAAGUGGAUACAAAGUAGGUAGAUUUGAUGUAACAAAUCCUCCCAAUCCAAUGGAAUAUGGUUUCUUAUAUAUAUAUAUAAGUUGGUAGAAGAUGGGUAUCUCGUGACCUACCUUCCAAAAGCCUCAUGCUCGCUCUCUCUCUCUCUCUCAACUUCUCUGCUAUAAAUGACUUGCUUCCCUCGAAUACAUCUGCUGUGUUACUUUCUUCCUCUUAAUCGCUCCCACUAGCUCGUCAACACAAAGGCUUGCUUUCAUGGGAAUCUUCUCACUAGUGACAGGGUUACCAGGGCCAAGCGGCUUCGGAUCGUCUUCCACAGCAGAGCAGGUGACCGAAGGCGUCGACGCAUCCAACCUCACCGUCAUCAUCACCGGUAUGCUUCCUUCUCUCCAUGAUAAGCUUCCACUGGUUAACCUCAUGCAGGAAACUGUCACGUCCACAGGCGGUGCAAGCGGCAUCGGCGCAGAGACCGCAAGAGUCUUCGCACUUCGCGGUGCCCAUGUCAUCAUUGCAGCCAGGAACAUGGAGGCUGCCACUGAUGCGAAGCAGCUUAUCCUAAAGACCACUCCAUCUGCCAGGGUGGAUCUCUUAGAGCUCGAUCUCAGCUCACUGAAGUCUGUGCGUGCCUUCUCGGACAAGUUCCUCUCCAUGGAUCUUCCCCUCAACAUCUUAAUGUACUCCCCGUCUUCGUAUCAUGAGCUACACCUCGUAGCUUUGAUGUUUCUGGCACUGACUUCGAUUCCGCACUGUGCUUGUAGAAACAACGCCGGCGUCAUGUUCUGCCCUCACCAGCUCUCUGAGGAUGGAACAGAGAUGCAGUUCGCUACAAAUCACAUAGGUGCUCUACAUCUUUUCUCUCAAAGCUUAUCACAGGGAUGUUUGAAAUGCUUUGUUCCCUCGAUCUUUUGCCGUCAGGUCACUUUCAGCUGACGAAUCUUCUUCUUGAGAAGAUGAAAAGCACUGCGAGGAAGACAGGAAUCGAAGGUCGCAUUGUGAACUUGUCGUCUGUGGCUCACAUAUACACCUAUGAAGAUGGAAUUCGAUUUAGUGAACUCAAUGAAAAAUAUGGGUAUGUUAAUUGGUCAUUAGAAUCAUCUUUUCGGAGACGACUGAUUUGGUAAAUGGACUGUUGUCAGGUACUCCAGCAAGAAGGCAUAUGGGCAAUCUAAGCUGGCCAACAUAUUACACGCGAAUGAGCUCUCCAGGCGUCUACAGGUACUGUGGCGAUCAAAUGUUCUUAAGCCUCCACAUUUGGUACUCCAAAAGCUGAGCAGAGCGAUCUGCUGUGACAGGAAGAGGGAGCAAAUGUUACAGUCAACUCUGUUCAUCCAGGACUCAUCAUGACGAACCUGAUGAGGCACACCUUGUUCCUGAUGAGUAAGUUCUUAUACCAAGCUCUCGAUCAUGUCCUCCUCUUUCUCUGAGCCUUUGCUUGCAGGGAUGCUAAAGAUGGUCUCAUACAUACUGUGGAAGAACGUGCCGCAGGUACGACCCCGCGGAUUGCUGAAGCCAUGUAGGGACCUGUGGCUGUGUGCUCACAUCGUUAUGUUUCGGCGGUGCAGGGAGCAGCUACGACUUGCUACGUUGCGCUACAUCCGAGCGUGAAGGGCGCGUCGGGGAAGUACUUCGUCGACUGCAACGAGGCGAAGCCGAGCUCGUUGGCCGGAGACGAAACCCUUGCGAGGAGGCUGUGGGACUUCAGCGAGAAGCUGGUUAAUGCCAAAAGUUGUGACCGUCGGUGAUGAGAGAUGCAAACAGAGUUUGCUGUCUUCCAACUAUUUCAUGGGACUAUAAAUGAUGAGAACGAGAUUUAAUCUUAUAUAUUUCUCCUAUCAAUAGUUAAAAGACUUUACCAAGUAAAUCUCUAGGCAAGUAAAUGUAGUAUAGGAUCACCAAAUCAAUAUUUCAAGUGUAUAUCCAUGUAAUUAUAACUGUGUGGGUCUAAUAUAUUAAAUUAAAAUAAAUAAAUAAUAUAUAAAUUCUUGAAAAAAAAAACUCGUAAGCUUGAGAACUUUUUAUAUAGCAUCUCAAUCUUUUUUUUUAUUUUAAAGAUGAUCAUUUUGUUCUUGUCGAUCAUUAUAUCCUGUCUAAUAUUGUGAUUCUUACGUUCAGGAUGUCAUUAACACUAGAACGCUUUGUAAGUGAGUUAGCAUAUGUGCGUUUGUACCCAUUAGUCUUAUAGAAACCCUAAGACGGUGUAUUCAUUGGUUGCGACGAUAAACCUUCUACUUGAGGUUCAAGAAGGGACACUGAAACCUUCGCCCUCCCCGACCUCCCUCUCUCCCUUUCUCCUCCUCGCUAAUCUUCGUCGUCCGAUGUUAAGACUUAUGUUUGGUCAUCAGUUUAACCCAAAUCCUAUUUUUCCCUUCAGUAAUGUAUUACAAAAAAAUAAAUAGAAUAAAACCCUUCAUUAAUCCAUUUUCCAUCACUUGCUUAAAUUGCGGUUAAUUCUGAUACGGGGAUGACAAGCCCAUGAGAGCGAGAGACGACAGGCGGCACGAGUUCGAGACACGAAUCACGACGACUGCCGCUGCCGUCCAGCGCUGGCCCUCCUUUCCCGCCGCGAUCCAACCACCCUCCUUCUAAGAUGCGCCGGCGACCUCACCAUGCGCCAGCUACUCCAACUCCACGCCCACCUCAUCACCUCCCCUCCGCCCCCGGACGCCGUAGACCCCAACGUCGUCGCUGUCAAGCUCAUCUGCGCCGCUGCCGCGCGCUCCAACCCCCGCCAUGCCGCCCUCGUUUUCUCUGCUCUCUCCGCCCCCAACCUCGUCGCCUGGAACUCCCUCCUCCGGGCCCUUUCCCUCCACCACCUCCACCCCGUUGCCCUCCGCCAUUUCCAUCGCCUCCUCGCCGCCGGCUCCCCCCUGCCCGACGAAUUCACGUUCACCUCCGUCCUCAAGGCCUGCGCUGGCCUCCUUUCCAGGUCGGACGGGGAGAUGGCCCACGCCCUCGUCCUGACGCGCGGCUUCGAAUCCAACCUCUUCGUCCGCAACUCUCUCGUUGACAUGUACUUUAAGUUCGGCCGGCCCGACGAUGCACGACGCCUGUUCGAUGAAAUGAUCACGAAGGACGUCGUUUCUUGGAACACUCUGGUCUCUGGGUAUUGCUCUUGUGGUGACAUCUCCAUGGCGCGGAAGGUGUUUGAUCGGAUGCCUGAGAGGAGCAUGGUCUCCUGGUCUGCGAUGAUUGCAGGCCAUGCUCGGUCUGGCGACUUGGGCGCUGCUCGUGAGGUCUUUGAUCGAGCAAAUGAGAAGAGUGUUGGUUGCUGGAAUGCCAUGAUCUCGGGGUACGCUCAGAACGAGAAGUUCUCAGAGGCCAUUGCACUGUUCCGCAGGAUGCUGCAAAUCCCGAUGGUGCAGCCCAAUGAAGUUACACUUGUGUGUGUACUAUCAGCCUGUGCCCACCUAGGUGCCCUUGAUUUAGGAAGGUGGAUCGAUGGAUUCAUCAAGAGGAGAGCCAUGGGAUUGAGCCUCUUCUUGGGGAAUGCACUAUCGGACAUGUAUGCCAAGUGCGGGUGUGUAGCCGAGGCAAGAUCAGUGUUCGACAAAAUGGCAGAGAGGGAUGUGGUGUCAUGGAGUAUAAUUAUCACUGCAUCGGCCAUGCAUGGCCAUGCCGAGGAUGCAAUAUCUGGUUUCCACAGAAUGUUAGAGAGUGGCGUGAAGCCAAAUGACAUCACAUUCAUGGGAAUUUUAUCUGCUUGCACUCAUGGUGGCCUAGUGGAUGCAGGGCUUUGUUAUUUUGACAUGAUGACUGAGGAGUUUGAGAUCAUCCCAAAGGUUGAACACUAUGGCUGUGUGGUGGAUCUUCUCAGCCGCGCUGGAAGGCUUGAUGAAGCUGAGGACUUGAUAAAUUCAAUGCAGGUGGCACCCAAUGUCAUCGUCUGGGGUGCUCUGCUGGGUGGUUGCAGGAUCUACAAGGACAUAAACCGAGGGGAACGAGUAGUUCAACACAUACUGGAGUUAGACCCUGGGCACUCGGGCAGCUAUGUGUAUCUAGCAAACGUGUAUGUUUCGAUGGGAAGGUUGGAAGAUGCAGCGAAGUUUAGAUUAAUGAUGCGAGAGAAGAGGGUGGUGAAGACACCUGGUUGCAGUUGGAUUGAGGUAGACAACAUGGUACAUGAGUUCUUCAUGGGCGAUCGUUCGCAUCCACAAUCUGAAAAGAUAUAUUCAAUGAUCAGUACAUUGAGCUUAAGAAUGAAGCUCGCAGGAUAUGUCCCCAUCACAUCCUUGGUUUCACAAAGCAUAGAUGAGGAGGAAAAGGAGAAUGUGCUGUCGAUGCACAGCGAGAAGUUAGCUGUAGCUUUUGGGCUCAUCAGCACAAAGGAUGGUACCACAAUUCGAGUUGUGAAGAAUUUGCGGGUUUGUAAUGAUUGCCAUGAAGCCAUGAAGGUCAUCUCAAGAAUUGUCUCACGGGAGAUUGUUCUGCGUGAUCGAAGUCGGUUCCACCAUUUCAAGGAGGGUCAAUGUUCUUGUAAAGACUACUGGUAGUGAUCCUUAAAGAUGGGGCAACAAUUUUCCACUUUGAAAGAGGGAAGUCAAUUGCUGUGCCAGGAAGUUAAAGAUUGUUCCAAAUUUUGAUACCUACAGAUGUCUGCAAAGCCACAUUUCAUGUAUUGAUGAAAGUGAUUACUGACUUGAUGAAGGGAGUGCCAAUACGGUUGAAGGAUCUUUGAGAACAGCCAUGGAAUGCCUGGAGUUAGAUCCUGGACAUUAGGGCAGCUAUUUAUUGCUGGCACAAGUGUGACUUGGGUGUAUACUUAAUGCAAGCGGAAAGAGUCACCAUGAUACCUCCUGGUCGCAAUUAGAUCAAGUUAAGAUAAAUGCGCCACAUGAAUUUGUACAGGGAUAUAUUUAUAUCUCGUGAAAAAUGAUUAGUUCCCAAUAUGUUGGAAGUUCCUCAAAGCAUAGGCAAGGGUAAAAAAAGGAGUAUGCUCGAUUUGGCUGUGGUGAGAAGAUAGUGUGGAGUUCUGGCUCAUCAGCAUGACUGCUGAGAGAUGGCUACCGAAUUGAAACAUGAAAGAUGUGUCAAUUUGUAGUAAUGACUUUGAAGGUUGACUCAGAAAUUAGUCUAAUUGGAGCCUUUUGGUUGAGAUCAGCUUUCAGCAUCCAAAGGAGAGGGAAUCAUCCUGCAAAACGUUACUGGUAAUAAUUUUAAAGAUGGAUCAUCUGUUCUACCAUCAGAAAAAAGCAGAGGAACUUCUGUUAUUGUAGAAGGUGUUUAACCUCUGAAGUUACACAUCCAUCAGGCAGUUUGGCACAUCUUUACUGCUGCUCCUACGACACAGCAAUGAACUUAGUGCUCGAUUUUGUGAUGAGAAGAUGGUGUAGAUUUCCGGCUCAUCAGCAUGAUUGCUGAGAGAUGGUAACAGAGUUGAAACGUGAAAGAUGUGUCAAGUUGUAGUAAUCACUUUGAAGGUUGACUCGAAAUUAAUCUAAUUGGAGCUUUUUGGUUGAGAUAAGCUUUCAGCAUCCGAGGGAGAGCGAAUCAUCCUGCAAAACAUUACUGGUAAUAAUUUUAAAGAUGGAUCAUCUGUUCUAUCAUCAGAAAAAGCAGGAACUUCUGUUAUUGAGAAGAUGUUUAACCUCUGAAGUUACACAUCAAUCAGGCAGUUUGGCACAUCUUUACUGCUGCUCCUACGACACAGCAAUGAUCUUAGUGGUGGUAUCUUCGGCCUCUGUUCACAUCACGCAUGGAAGAGCCAUGACCAGACUGGAAUAUUAACUUAAACUUUAUGAUUAUUAGUAUUUUAAUUUAAAGUUUUAGUCAAGAUAGGUAUUAUUAUCAUAAUUGAAGUCAUAACUUCGUGACCAGAGAUUGUAAUAUGAGCCUUUAGUUUUCAAAUUUUUUAUUUUUCCUCUAUAAUUUCUUGAUCUUCAUGAACUUUUCAAGAAAAUUUGACCAGAGAUGGUAAUAUGAGCCUUUAGUUUUCAAAUUUCUUUAUUUUUCCUCUAUAAUUUCUUGAUCUUCAUGAACUUUUCAAGAAAAUUUUCAACAUGAUAUUGGAACAAUUAUUUUUCCUAAUAGGAUGGAUUUAUACAUCAAAUCUUAUGGCAUCCUACCAUGGAUGGUCAUAAUGUAUUCGUUAAUGGAUCGUUUAUUGUUUUUAUUUAUUUAUAUAUAUGUUUGAUAACAUGUUUUAUCUUGUUUUUAUGUAUUAUUGCUUGAAAACUAUAAGCAGAAAUAGUUUGCAAAGCUCUAGAGCAAUCAUUCACUAGAAUGAGUAAAAUUACCUCAAAAUAGUCCAAAUUUUGUUUGUCAUGGUCUAUUUUCUAUAGGUUGCGAUGUAAAAAAAAAUAUCAAUCAUCUCAGUAUCUCAAAACCCCUUAGGUAGUACCUGGAUGGUGGUUUGGGAUAGUAUUGAGCAUUGGUUGAAUUCACAAGGUUUCACGUUAGGUAUGGAGCGUUCAAGUUAUUAGUAAUGCUUUUCAGCUUAACCAAUGCUUUGGUCAUAUUAUGCACUCUCAUGGACCAACUAUGUAAUGAGGCAUCUGGACAAGUUUGUGAUCGUCUACUUGGACGAUAUCAUCGUUUACAGCUAAACACUUGAGUAACAUGUCAAGAACAUUCGAAUAAUUUUCAAUGUUUUUAGGGAUAACACUUUUUUCAUGAAAAUGGAGAAGUAUUAUUUUGCUCAAAUAGAGAUUUUAUUCUUAGGAUAUCGAAUUGACGAAGGUUCCAUUCGAAUAGAUAAAUCAAAGUUACAACCUGUGGUGGAGUAGCAAACACCACAAAAGGUACUUGAGCUGAGAUUCUUUCUUGAUUUCAUCAACUAUUAUUUGUGCUAAUGUAGCUGUGCGCUCAAAGUGCACAACUCUAUUGAUGAAGUUGCUAAAGAAGGAGUAGCCUUACCGAUGCUUAGACAAAUAUGAAGUGACAUUCUAAGACCUAAAGGUUGUUGUAUUGAAAGAACUAGUACUCAAAUUGAUGAACUAUAGGAAGCCUUUUAAAGUCCAUACAAAUACUUUGAACUUUGCUAUUUGGGGAGUACUUAUGCAGAAAGGUCAACUGGUGGCCUACGAGAGCCGCAAGCUCAACGAGAUCGAGCGGUGGUAUCCAAUGCACGAAAAGGAGAUAAUAGCGGUGGUUCAUUGUCUACAAGUUUGGCAAUACUAUCUUCUCGAAAUGCAAUUUGUGCUAAGAAUGGACAAUAUCGCAUUGAGUUACUUAUAAACUCAAAAGAAAUUCUCCCUAAAGCAAGCAUGGUGGCAGAACUUCAUGGCUGAAUUUGAUAUGAUAAUAAAGUACAAGCCCAGAAGAGUAAAUGUGGUAGCCAAUGCAUUGAGUAGAAAAGUGGAGAUGAUAAAUGCCAUGCAAUUGGAAGGUAGAGGCUAAACAAGUUAGCUAUAUUUAACUUCCUUUCCAAUAUUAGGAAUGGAUUGUAUAGUGAUCCAUAUGUAGUAACCCUAAUGCAACUAAUCAAACAAGAUAAGAUACGAUGAUUUUGGGUCCAAAAAGGACUCAUCUACACCAAAAGGAGUAGAGUUUCUGUUCCUUAAGCGGAUAAUAUAAGACAUGAACUUUUGAGAGUGUCAUAGUUUCCUUUGGGCAGGACAUUUGGGUAUUCACUGAACAUUAGCUCUUGUAAAGAGGGCAUUCUAUUGACCGAAGAUGGGGACUGAUAUGAAAAAAUAUGUUCAAACCACUUAUUAAUAAGAUAAGGCAGAGCAACGAAAGUUGAUGAGACUUUUGGAGUCGUUGCCUAUACUUGAAAGGAUGCAAGAGAGCAUUUCCUUUGACUUCAUAUCAAGCUUAUCGACAAUAAGGGAGAGUCAGAUCGAUACUCGUGGUGGUUGAUCAAUUUUUAAAAUAUAUAACAUUCAUUAUUUAACUCCUACACUACUCAACAAAGAAGGUGGUCAAAUUGAUGAUGAAGAAUGUGAUUAAGUAUUGAGAGGUCCCACAAGAUAUCAUUAGUGUUCGAGAUGUGUGAUUCUUAGGGUGAUUAUAGAUUGAACUAUUUAAAUUACUGAGAUCUAAGUUAUUCUUUUUCACAAGUCUCUACCGGAUAACCAAACUAUGAAAAAGAAAUUCACUCUUUUGAGCAAUAUCUUUAGCACCAUGUGAGUGUCAACUAACGAGAUUGAGUGAAGCUGUUUGACAUAAUCUAAUUCUCCUAUAAGUUGCAAUAGAGAUCUACAUCUAAUAAUAGCCCUUUCGAGAUCAUUAUGGGAUAGCAGUUGAUUUUUCAAACCUUAGCGAUCAGUUAUAUCGGAAGUAGUCCGUCAGCAUAUCACUUUACUUACAUGGAGAAGGCGACUAAAAGUUGAAGAAGUGGGUAUAUUUAAGAAGGCGUCCAUAGGGGUUUAAAGUCAAUGACUUGGUGUUAUUGAAGCUCCAACCAUAAAGUGCACAAGGAACUCGUGCAAAGACCCUUCUGAAUUAUCAAUAGGGUAAGCAAUGUCUUCUACAAGUUGUUACUAUCGAUGUAGCUCAAAAUUCAUAAUAUCUUUCACGUAAAUGACUUAAAAGCCUACCACUUAGAUCGGCAAGAUAUUUUCCGAAGCGUUCCAACUUAGCUACCAUCGACCUUAGCCUCCUAUAAAAAGUGAGUUGAAAUCAUUUUAGUAGAUCGUAAGACAAAGCUACCCAACAAAGCAAAGCAGAUCGAGUACUUGAUGAAAUGACAAAAAAUUCCCUAAACAAGCUAGUUGGAAGUCUGAAGACACCUUACGACAUGAAAAAACGGUCAUCAAGGACUACUAGUAAGCAUCGACAAGGGCAUUGACAAUUUAAAUGGGAAAAAAUGUCACAGACGGUUAUUGCACACCCAUAACGCUUUUGUCAAUAGACUAAUUGUCGCUUUUAUUUGCUUAUACAUAUGUUGAACAAUAUAUUUUAUAUUAUUUUUAUAUGUUUUUGCUUAAAAAUUAUAAACAAGAAAAGUUUACAACAGUAUAGGUGGCACCUAACUAGAUGGAGAUUUGAUAGUGUUGAGUGUGCUCGACUCCCGAUGAAUAGUUGUUUGACCUUUUUUUUUUUUUUUCUUUUUCUCUUGUACACUCAGUAUUUAUUGAAUUGCUUAUAAGACUAUCAUCUUCACGAUACAUCGAAACUUGUCUAUCGCUCAUAUUUGAACUACUCAAUUUGCUCUUUCCAUAUCAUACCUAAUCUUUUAUGAUCCAAUAAUGUAAAAUAACAAUGCCAAUACUAUUGGAGUAAGUGAACAGAUCAGACAGACACCCGUUUGGGUGCAAAUCCACGGGCUUCUAUGAUUGCAUUAGGAGAACUAAUAAAAUCAAGAUAUCAUAAACAUCUUAGUUUUACUAUUAAUCUUGAAGAUACAAGAAAUUUUUUUUUUUCGAAAAAGGACCGAUCUAUAGGCAAAUCAGAAACAUCAAGAACAGAUUGUUCCAAGCAAACCGAAUAUUGGUGAGACAUUAAGUUCUCCAAAACAUGGUCCAUGACCAAACAACAACAUAAAGGCCUCGGUUCUUAGUUCCUGGAACUCGAAAUCACCGUAGCAUUCUCGUGUUCAACCCACGACAACAGUAGAUGCAACCAACGACAACCACAGGCAAAGAGAAAAUGGAAACCAACCGAUGCAUGCUUGCACUUGACAUGCUUAUUUAUCUACAAUCAUCAGCAAUAUCUUGUGUGAAACAUUACGGUGGCGAAGGCCUCUCACGUAGCCUCCGCCAUAGAUAUAUGCACUUUAGUAAGCGCUUCCCUCAAGAAGGUGUUCCCGCACUUGGAAUCUUGCUUACUGACUGCAUACUUCAAGACUUCCAUGCUGGAAUUGUCGUAUCCAUUCGGCGGGGACGUAUCCCCAGUGCUUUGUGACCUGAAAAAUAUAGUGAUUUAAAUCUUAAUUUCAAGAGCAUUGAUGCAUAAAUUCAUGCCAAAGUUGUCAUCAUCUACCAAAUGUAAUCAAGAAUUAACCUCAUAUCCACAGAUUCAGCCAUAUUGCCUGCGCUGCUCCUGUUUGUACUCCUCCUCUCGGUAUUGCUUCCCCGUGCCGAUUUGCCCUUGUGCUUGUGUUUAUUGCCAUCUUUUUUCUUUGCUCGGGGGCGUUGGUGAUGGCUCUUCUUUACAGUGUGCGACACUGUGGUGCACGGUGGAUCAUAAACCUCGGGGGCCCAUUUUACACGUAACUGCACAUUCGAAGGUGAUCCAUUCUUCGCACGGCUACCCUUUACGGCAGAAAUGAGUUUUGAAGGAGCCUGGAAAAACACAGUUCAAUCAAUACAAUUAGGAAGUACUUCUACACGAAACAUUCUCAUCAUAUGAAAUCUUUUAAAGUGAACCUCAUCCUAGAAGGCAUCAACCAGAAAAGUAGGAAUUUAUAUAACCAAGACAGCAUUGUUUGAAAUUGUAUGUAGCGCCAUCACUUGCAUCUAACACCUAUCCUAAUGAGACUACUACCAGCAGAACAUUCCAUAAAUACAUGAACAAUCAUAUUUGCAUGCAUAGAGUAUCUUCUCCUGGGACCAACAAGGAACCCAGUCCAAAAGGAAAAAAGUAAUGACCUUUAUCAUCAUAAAGAAUUCUCUGCUAAUAUUUUCACCAUAUGAAAGUAAAUUUCCUCAAUAUGAUUGCUCCCUAGGAGCAAUUUGUUCUUCAGUGCAAUAUUCAGGAUGUAAUGGCAGCAAUAAAUUGGCAAGUUUAGCAAUGAUACAUCAUCAAGAAUGCUUGCAUAGACUAGGACCAACUGAUACUCAAAUUAUUUAAACAAUAGAGACUCACAGGGAGAGAAACUGAACGUGCAUAUGUAGGAUUAUUAGGUGCAGAAGAACACUCUUGUUGAAAAGCACUGCACGGCAUCCCACAACCACCAUCUAUAGAGAGAUCAACAGGGUCCACCUCCACUGAGGAAGGAAAUGUUGCAGAUUUAGUCAAGGCUUUCUGUUUCUUCACAUCAGACGAAGCAAAAUGAUGUAACUCUUGGUAACUCUCAAGAUGCUUUGCUUCGAGUACUUUCUCAUCUGAGGUUGCAUUAUCAGAUAACUGUGCUUGAAGAUCACCGACAGGCAGAACCAAAGAAGGAGCAACAUCAGCCUCUUGAACUGUUAACACAUCAUUUUCGCUAAUAAAAGGAUCACUCGGGGUCCCCUGCAAUGUAAGCUUAGCAGUUUCUUCUUUAUUCCAGCAAACACACUCUUUGUUUUCUACAUUUGAUUUCCCGUGGCUAAGGCCAUCGACAUAUAAGCCACAACUAGUAUCUCCAAGAGGUGUAUCAGCAUUACAGACACUGUCCAUCCAGCUGCUAUUGUAUCAAAAGCUGACAAAGAGUUCAUAUUAAUGGUUUCACCAUAUGUAUAUUUUAUAUCAAGAACAAUAGAACUACUACAAGAAAUUGGCAGGAAUAUUAUGCUACACAAGUUUAUUUGCUAAACAUGAAGCAUGGUGUAAUGUACAUAUAUUAACUCUCUGUUCAAGACUACAAAAACUCAUAUAACUACUAUUCAGUGCAAAAUUGAUUUUUGCUUGGAAGAGAUCAAUAUAAUAUAAUUACAUUUACUCAUAGAAGCUUCAACACUCAAACCUCAAUUAAAUAACAGAACCAACCCUCACCUAAUCGAGAAGAUGCAAUGAGCAACCUCAGAAUAAACUGAAACAUGUCAGAAAUAAAAUCCAGUAAAAGAAAGCAAAUAAUGUUUCUGUUAACCAAAAAAAAAAAGAGUACAUGACGUUGAUCAAAAUCAGGCAACCACAAGACAGAGGCUUGUGACCGAAUCAUACUACUUGUGUCUAGAACAUCAAAUCUACAACACAUAGGACCAUAAUUUUACAUGAACGUAGCAAACUAGGAUUUUAGAAAAAAACACAAAUGACAUUUAGUUUUGGUUGGUAACUCUGAGUUUCUUUGUCAUGCACUAAAUUAUACAGGCAGUUUAGGCUGGACUUGGUCCAAACAUUUGGCACAAUGAUCUGGGAGUUUCAUUUCAACAACCCAAAAUCCAUUGUGCUUAUUGUUUAUCCUUUUCUGGCAACAGUUUAUCAUGAAAGUAAAGCUCAAUCUUGUCCAAGUAGGAGAAACAUGUGAACAUUCUGUACUCAAAAUGUAUCUACUUACCAUGCAACCUGACAGGAUUUAGGCACACAUGCUGACUAAAGUAAACAAGCGUGUGAGAGAAAUAUCAUAAUUAAAAAAUUAGACUGGUUUUAAACGCUCUCAGUCAUAAGAAAAAUCACUAUAUCAUAGAUAUAUUCACCAGACUGGGAAAACAGUAUAUUUAAUAUAUACUUCUCACUAACAAGAUAUCCAGAAAUCACCUAGUAAGAUAAACCAAUAUCAAAGUUGAGUAAACUAACACAUUUUGGAAAAAAAAAAAAACGGUAAUAAUAAUAUUGAAAAAGUUUAUUUAUCAACAUCUUCAUGUCUAAUAAAUGUACAAAGAGUAAUACAUAACAUGCAUAUGCACAUAUAAUCAGUCACCUUAUCCAUCCCGGGAUUUGCAUCAUCAAGUUUGAUGUGCUGAUAUCACAAAAGACCUUUCUCGAAGAAUUAAGGGCAAGUUAGCAAUGACUCUUCACACAAUUUUUAUCUUGGGCAACAAAACAACUCCAGUUGUUUAGUGUAUCUGUGCAUAUUCUUAAUAAACAAAUACUAAUAGACCCAUGAUGAACCAUUGGACCACUGGAGGCCCCAGUGCAGUGACCCAGAUCAUUCAGUCGAUCUCCUGUCCGAGGCUGGAUAGAACACUUCCUCUUGAGAAGGUAACCUAACAGUUAUUUUUCACAUUCAACAGGACAGAUAUGCUACAUACUAUUUUUAAACAUCACUGAUCUUUCAUAUUCAAUAUAUUUCAUUAAAAAAUGUAUUGAUUUUAGUGAAAAUAGAUGUAAAUAUAAAAAAUUAUUCCUAUUCAAGAUAUUUGACUAAAUCUAGCUGUAUGCUAAAUACGACUAUGACUAGCAUACAAACAUAUCCAAGAAUCAAUUGUACUGGGAGCAUCCUAAUAAAGGACAGUUUAAACCAAAAUAAAGGCAACCUUCCAGUUGAAAUAGCUGUCUCUUUGUAAUUUAUUUAAGUUAAUGCCAAAUAAACAAAUGGCCAGUGGAAGAUUAGCAAAAGAAAAUAAACAAACAAAGUUUCAUGCACAUGCACCUUCCCUUUGUUGUGGAAAAACAGUGUGAGAAGUGAAUGAGUCAGUGUGUGUGUGUGUGUGAGAGAGAGAGAGAGAGGUUGGGGGGGUGGGGUGGAGGAAGACAGUUUAAUCAACAUCAUGAACCGGCUUGCUGAACAUAUCUUUUUACCUGUUGUCAUGAAACAAAUGUUUGCUAAUUCC
rnacentral:lncRNA from 1 species